CACACGUAUCGUCCGUCAGUACGGUCGUAAACAUAUGUAACAGCUGCGUGCAUGGGCACGACGGAAGUGGUGUGGCGUGUCGUGUGGUCUGCUCACCUGCCGUCGAGGUAGGCAGGGGACUGGAGGCCGGGGAGCCAGGACCCCUUGGCCUGGACGGCGACGUCGCGGCGGGUGGACUUGGCGAGCCCGACGCGGCCGGAGUCGCCCAGGAACCGGGGGCUCGACGCUGACGCCGCCGGCCGGAGAGCGGCCACGGGAGCGCGGGCACUGACCGACGACAUCUUCUGCUACUCCUGACUAGAGAGCGCGUACGGCAGGAGAGUGAGAGUGCGCGCGUGUGUGUGUGGUGGUUCUGCCUCUCCGCACCUGCGCUUGGCCCUUUGUAUUGGGCUGCGCUUCGGUGAUUUGUGGGUGUGGUGAGCUGGGCCCCGGAGGUCGAGAUGGACGGCGUGUGUUGGCGCCACCGCGUCGUCCGACGGCUGCGAUGCGUUUGCGCCUGGAGACUGGAUAGAUGGACCAGUGGGAGACCGGGAGGCGUAUGUGCGUUAUCUGGAUGAUGGAUAAUGCGGAAUCAAAAGGGGGAUCGCUAUUGGUCGGGGAAACGCACGUUCGGUUUACCUGGCUGCCACGUCGAUCGGACGAUCCGUCAUGAUGUACAGCUGUACAUGGUGCCAUGGCGGGUUGGUCUGUUUGCUUCAACUUUCGAGCUCUUCCACGGGAAACCGGCUUUCGCCCUAGAAAUGGCACGGAUGGUCGAACGGAUACAAGGUGAUGGAAAGAACCCCAUAGAAGGCGGUCGCGGCGAGCCGUCACGAUCCCGUAAUCGAACAAGAAAAUAAGAGUCGCCACACCUAACAUGAGGCGACCUAGACUAUUGAAUCGGAACUCAACCGUGCCGCCUAGGAAAAUCAUAGACCAUUAUGCAUAAAACACAUCAAGUUAUCGCCGGAGAAAGUAAGUGUCGAUCCAAUCCGUGGAGUUCCAAUCCUGCGAGCAGAUAGCGAGGACCAAUGACAUUGACUACGAGGACACGUGUAAAUGAUAGGGGAUCAACGGAUCCACUCCACGACGAAGCCGAAGGCACCGAUGUGCUGUAACUGGAUGAUAUUUGUGUUCCCCGACAAUGCCCCGAGGAGGGUAAUGAUGUAGAGCGUUGAUACGUCUCCAACGUAUUUAUGGUGUUUUUAUUGUGUCAUGCUAUUAUAUUAUCAAUUUCGGAUGCUUUAUAUGCUAUUUUAUAUCAUUUUUAAGAACUAACCUAUUAACCGAGUGUCCAGUGUCAGUUCCUAUUUUUUGCGUGUUUUGACUUCUCAGAAAAUCAAUAACAAACGAAGUUCAAACAUGAUGAAACUUUAUGAUGAUUCUUUCUGGACCAAAAAGGGACCCCUAGAAGGUUCGGGAGGAGGCCAGAAGACGUAGGGAGAGCCACAAGCUCACAGGGUGCGCCCCCCCCCCCCCGGGGGNNNNNNNNNNNNNNNNNNNNNNNNNNNNNNNNNNNNNNNNNNNNNNNNNNNNNNNNNNNNNNNNNNNNNNNNNNNNNNNNNNNNNNNNNNNNNNNNNNNNGACGUCUAACUUGUUUUUGCAGGGUAUGAUUGUGAUGUGAUAUGGCCAAUGAUGUGAUGUGAUAUAUUGGAUGUAUGAGAUGAUCAUGUUGUAAUAGAAAUAUCGACUUGCACGUCGAUGGUACGGCAACCGGCAGGAGCCAUAGGGUUGUCUUUAUACUAACGUUUGUGCUUGCAGAUGCGUUUACUAUUUUGCUAGGAUGUAGCUUUAGUAGUAAUAGCAUAAGUAGCACGACAACCCCGAUGUCAACAUGUUGAUGGAUGAUCAUGGUGUGGCGCCGGUGACAAGAAGAUCGUGCCGGUGCUUUGGUGAUGGAGAUCAAGNNNNNNNNNNCUUGCAGAUGCGUUUACUAUAUUGCUAGGACGUAGCUUUAGUAGUAAUAGCAUGCGUAGCACGACAACCCCGAUGGCGACACGUUGAUGGAGAUCAUGAUGAUGGAGAUCAUGGUGUGACGCCGGUGACAAGAAGAUCGUGCCGGUGCUUUGGUGAUGGAGAUCAAGAAGCACGUGAUGAUGGCCAUAUCAUGUCACUUAUGAAUUGCAUGUGAUGUUAAUCCUUUUUGCACCUUAUCUUUCUUAGAACGACGGUAGCAUUAUGAGGUGAUCUCUCACUAAAAUUUCAAGACGAAAUUGUGUUCUCCCCGACUGUGCACCGUUGCGACAGUUCUUCGUUUCGAGACACCAGGUGAUGAUCGGGUGUGAUAGACUCAACGUUCACAUACAACGGGUGCAANNNNNNNNNNUGAAAUUGUGUUCUCCCCGACUGUGCACCGUUGCUACAGUUCGUCAUUUCGAGACACCACGUGAUGAUCGGUGUGAUAGACUCAACGUUCACAUACGACGGGUGCAAAACAGUUGCGCACGCGGAACACUCGGGUUAAGCUUGACGAGCCUAGCAUGUGCAGACAUGGCCUCGGAACACAUGAGACCGAAAGGUCGAUCAUGAAUCAUAUAGAUGAUGUGAUUAGCAUAGGGAUGCUUACCACUGAAACUAUACUCAACUCACGUGAUGAUCGGACUUGAGAUAGUGUAGGUGGAUCAUGAACCACUCAAAUGACUAGAGAGAUGUAAUUUUUGAGUGGGAGUUUAGCAGAUAAUUUGAUUAAGUUGAACUCUAAUUAUCUUCAACAUAGUCUAAGUCCACUUUGAAUAUAUUUGUGUUGUAGAUCAUGGCUGACGCAAGUGUCAUCCUGAAUUUUAAUACGUUCCUAGAGAAAGCUAAGUUGAAAGAUGAUGGAAGCAACUUUGUAGACUGGGCUCGUAAUCUUAAGCUAAUCUUACAAGCUGGGAAGAAGGAUUAUGUCCUUGAUGCUGCGCUAGGAGAUGAACCACCCGCUACGGCUGAUCAGGAUGUUAAGAACGCUUGGUUAGCGCGUAAGGAGGACUACUCAAUAGUUCAAUGUGCAGUCUUGUAUGGCUUAGAACCGGGACUUCAACGUCGCUUUGAGCGUCAUGGAGCAUUUGAGAUGUUCCAGGUGUUGAAGUUUAUCUUUCAGAAGAACGCCUGGAUCGAGAGGUAUGAGACCUCCGAUAAAUUCUAUGCUUGCAAGAUGGAGGAAAACUCGUCUGUCAGUGAACAUGUGCUCAAAAUGUCUGGGUACUCAAACCGUCUAGCUGAGCAGGGGAUUGAACUCCCGCAAGAGGCUAUCACUGACAGAAUCCUUCAAUCACUGCCACCAAGCUACAAAGGCUUUGUGUUGAACUACAACAUGCAAGGGAUGAACAAGUCACCCGGCGAGUUGUUUGCGAUGUUGAAAGUCGCAGAGUCUGAACUCCGUAAAGAGCAUCAAGUGUUGAUGGUGAAUAAGACCACUAGUUUCAAGAGAAACGGCAAAGGCAAGAAGGGUAAUUCAAAGAAGAGACUUGCCGGUAAACGAGAUUGAAAUAGGUAUGCGGAUACUGACGAUCGAAUCUCGGGCAAGUAACAUACCGAAGGACAAAGGGAAUGACAUACGGGAUUAUANNNNNNNNNNNNNNNNNNNNNNNNNNNNNNNNNNNNNNNNNNNNNNNNNNNNNNNNNNNNNNNNNNNNNNNNNNNNNNNNNNNNNNNNNNNNNNNNNNNNUGUGUGUGUGUGUGUGUGCACACUUGUGAUAGUGCAAGUGAUGUGUGUAUGUGUUUAUGUGGCUUAGUUGAAAAGUGGCUCAUGUGAUCUUGCUAGUGUGUUUGGGUGUGUAGUACUUGCAAAGUAUGUGCAUUGUGGAAUAGGUGAGAUGUGUGUGUUGAGGUGAUGUGUGUGUAAGUAGUGCACACAUAUGUGGUACCUAGCAGGAGUGUAUGUAUGUGUGGAUCCAUGUUUACUUGCAUAGCAGUUGUUCCUUCAUGUUGUGCUUGAGAUUAAGUGCUUGUGAUGAGGGUAUUGUGAUGAUAUGUGUGUGGUGAUAACAGCCCCAUUUUCAACACUUGUGCACCUCCUCAUGUUCAUAUGAGAGAGGACAUGAUGUGUGUGUGUGUGAGGGUGAUCUAGUGAAAGUUGUGCUAGUGGUGUUGANNNNNNNNNNGCAACACUUGUGCACCUCCUCAUGUUGAUAUGAGAGAGGGCAUGAUGUGUGUGUGUGAGGGUGAUCUAGUGAAAGUUGUGCUAGUGGUGUUGAUAUGCAUAACACAUACAUGGGGUUCAAACCCCCAUGUCACUUUUUCAUUGUGCACAUGAGCUCAACCUUUGUAGUUGUUGACUUAGUAGGAACUACAUGAAAUGAUGCCCAUUCCCUAGGCAUGAUUUGGAGUAGUUUCCUCUCCCUUAUUUUGUGGUCACUUGUUCCAAGUAAGUGCCCACAUAUUAUAUAUGAUUUUGGGGUAGAAUCUCCCAAGGAAUCCAGUGGUGAAGUUAGUUUUUCCAUUACGAUACUUUAUGGAGUUGACAUAUUCAGAUUUGUUGCAAGUUUGAUCUUUGAUUCCAUGGAAUAGGUGGAGCCCAAGGGCANNNNNNNNNNGCCAUUAGGAUAAUUUCUGGAGUUGACAUAUUCAGAUUUAUUGCAAGUUUGAUCUUUGAUUCCAUGGAAUAGGUGGAGCCCAAGGGCAUGAGUUUUUGUGUGAUAGUAGUAGGGUUUUGCUCUACACCAUAGUGGUGUCAUAUAUCACUUGGUGUUACUUGUGUGCAAACUAUGCCUAGACAAAGUGGGCAUGUGGUUGAAAAUUCCAGUUUAGUGAAAUCUGGAAUUUCACUAAGUCUGGGAUUCUGGAAACAUUUUCUUCUCUUAUAGAUGAGGAUGUGCUGGUCAUUGUGUUGAGAUCUAGCCUUAGUUCAGUGCUAGGAUUUUGGACCUGAUAUGUUUUUUAAGUUCCCUGUCAAAUUUCAAAUCAUUUGGAGUCUAGUAGGUUGUGUUUUGAUUGCUGUCAAAAAGCUUCAGAACAAAGACAGNNNNNNNNNNAUAGCCUUAGUUCAGUGCUAGGAUUUUGGACCUGAUAUGUUUGUGAUGCUUCCUGUCAAAUUUCAAAUCAUUUCGAGUCCAGUAGGUUGUGUUUUGAUUGCUGUCAAAAAGCUUCAGAACAAAGACAGAAAUUCAGGUGCAGGAAUUUUCACCAAGUCCCUGAGAUCUGAUGGUUUUGGGGAAGUUUGUGGCCUUGUAUAUUAAUUCCUUUUGCUGUGAUUCUUGCUGGUGCUUGUAGGGUUCUUAGUGGGCUACAGCCACAUAUAUUAUUUGACAUAUUUGGUGGCCUGUAGCUAUGUUGCAUGUAGCUCACAAAGUGCUAAGAUGCAGUUUAUGGCAGAUUAUGUAGUUUUGUCAUUUCUAUGAUUGUGUGUGCUUAGUGGAUGUGGUGGUGCUCUUACUUGCUCCAAUCCAUUCAUGUGGGAGUGGUACAUGUCUUGGCAACCUGNNNNNNNNNNUAUGCAGUUUAUGGCAGAUUAUGUAGUUUUGUCAUUUUGAUGAUUGUGUGUGCUUAGUGGAUGUGGUGGUGCUCUUCCUUGCUCCAAUCCAUUCAUGUGGGAGUGGUACAUGUCUUGGCAACCUGGGAAUACCAGAUUUGUGCCAAUUGUGAGUGUGGUGUUGAUUCUUACACGUAGAGCUUCAUAUCUUGUUUCGUUGAUUCCCGUUGAACCGUAGCUCCGUUCGCAAUGUUCUUUAUAUGUUUUUGCAUAGUUUUCACGAGACGCAUCUCUUCAUGCCAUUCUCAUGCAUGUAAAAAUAUCCUAGUUUACAGUUCUGUCCAGAAACUUAUAGUAGUUCUUUUGCUUGUGCUAGUGAUAGAAAUAGUGAUGCAUGCUCAUUUUUCANNNNNNNNNNACAAUGUUCUUUAUAUGUUUUUGCAUCGUUUUCACGAGACGCAUCUCUUCAUGCCAUUCUCAUGCAUGUCGAAAUAGCCUAGUGUAAAGUUCUGUCCAGAAACUUAUAGUAGUUCCUUUUGCUUGUGCUAGUGAUAGAAAUAGUGAUGCAUGCUCAUUUUUCAUCUCAUGCAUCAUGUGAUUGUUGCAUCUUGUNNNNNNNNNNNNNNNNNNNNNNNNNNNNNNNNNNNNNNNNNNNNNNNNNNNNNNNNNNNNNNNNNNNNNNNNNNNNNNNNNNNNNNNNNNNNNNNNNNNNGAACAACAUUCGGUAACCAACCAUAUAACUCAAAUACGCAUAAAACAAUGUCGAACCUUAAGUGUGCAGACCCUACGGGUUCAGGAACUAUGUAGACAUCACCCGAGAGACUCCUCGGUCAAUAUCCAAUAGCGGGACCUGGAUGCCCAUAUUGGAUCCUACAUAUUCUACGAAGAUUUUAUCGUUUGAACAUCAGUGCCAAGGAUUCAUAUAAUCCCGUAUGUCAUUCCCUUUGUCCUUCGGUAUGUUACUUGCCCGAGAUUCGAUCAUCAGUAUCCGCAUACCUAUUUCAAUCUCAUUUGCCGGCAAGUCUCUUUACUCGUUCCGUAAUACAAGAUCCGCAACUUACACUAAGUCACAUUACUUGCAAGGCUUGUGUAUGAUGUUGUAUUACCGAGUGGGCCCCGAGAUACCUCUCCGUCACACGGAGUGACAAAUCCCAGUCUCGAUCCAUACUAACUCAACUAACACCUUCGGAGAUACCUGUAGAGCAUCUUUAUAGUCACCCAGUUACNNNNNNNNNNNNNNNNNNNNNNNNNNNNNNNNNNNNNNNNNNNNNNNNNNNNNNNNNNNNNNNNNNNNNNNNNNNNNNNNNNNNNNNNNNNNNNNNNNNNGUAGACCGAUAAUUUCUGCAUCUACUACUAUUACUCCACACGUCGACCGCUAUCCAGCAUGCAUCUAGUGUUUUGAGUUCAUGACGAACAGAGUAACGCCUUAAGAAAGAUGACAUGAUGUAGAGGGAUAAUCUCAAACCAAUGAUGAAAACCCCAUCUUUUUACCCUUGAUGGCAACAACACGAUACGUGCCUCGCUACCCCUUCUAUCACUUGGUGAGGUCACCGCACGGUAUGAACCCAAAACCAAGCAAUUCUCCCAUUGCAAGAAUCAUAGAUCUAGUUGGCCAAACAAAACCCACAACUCGAAGUGAAUUACAAGGAUAUGCAAUCAUGCAUAAGAGAGAUCAGAAGAAACUCAAAUAAGAUUCAUAGAUAAUCUGAUCAUAAAUCCACAAUUCAUCGGAUCUCGACAAACACACCGCAAAAGAAGAUUACAUCGGAUAGAUCUCCAUGAAGAUCAUGGAGAACUUUGUAUUGAAGAUCCAAGAGAGAGAAGAAGCCAUCUAGCUACUAGCUAUGGACCCGUAGGUCUGUGGUGAACUACUCACGCAUCAUCGGAGAGGUCAUGGUGUUGAUGAAGAAGCCCUCCGUAUCCGAAUCCCCCCUCGGUAGGGCACCAGAAUGUGCCCCAGAUGGGAUCUUGCGGAGACAGAAGCUUGCGGCGGCGGAAAAGUACUUUUGAUGAUCUCCUGAUUUUUUCUGGGAUUUUAGGUAAUUUAUAGGCGAAAGACCUAGGGAAGAGGUGGCCCAGGGAGCCCACAAGCCUGGGAGGCGCGGGCCCCCCUGGCCGCGGCUAGGGGGCUUGUGGGGUCCCUGCUGCCCCCCUGCCCAGAUUCUCAGGCUUCUUGAUCUUCUUAUAUUUCGGAAAAAAUCUUUUUGGCAGUUUCGUUCCGUUUGGACUCCGUUUAAAAUCCUCCUCUGAAAAGGGUCAAAAACAUGGAAAAAACAGGAACUGGCACUUGUCACUGAGUUAAUAAGUUAGUCCCAAAAAAUAUAUAAAAGGCAUACAAAACAUCCAAAGUUUGACAAGAUAAUAGCAUGAAACCAUCAAAAAUUAUAGAUACGUUGGAGAUGUAUUAACCUACGAGGUUUGUAGUAACUUGAUCCGAAGCUCUAAUGAUCACUAUCAUCAGCUUCCACUUCAAUUGGUGUAGGCGUCACAGGAACAACUUCCUGCGCCCUGCUACACACUGGUUGAAGUGACGGUUCAAUAACCUCAUCAAGUUCCACCAGUCUCCCACCCAAUUCUUUGGAGAGAAACCUUUCCUCGAGAAAGGAUCCGUUUCUAGAAACAAACACUUUGCUUCCGGAUCUGAGAUAGGAGAUGUAUCCAACUGUUUUGGAUAUCCUAUGAAGAUGCAUUUAUCCGCUUUGGGAUCGAGCUUAUUAGACUGAAACCUUUUCACAUAAGCAUCGCAACCCCAAACUUUCAAGAAACGACAGCUUAGGUUUCUCUAAACCAUAGUCUAUGGCGUGUCAUCUCAACGGAAGUAUGCGGUGCCCUAUUUAAAGUGAAUGUGGUUGUCUCUAAUGCAUAACCCAUAAACGAUAGUGGUAAUUCGAUAAGAGACAUCAUAGUAUGCACCAUAUCAUAAUAGGGUGUGGCUAUGACGUUCACACACAUCAUCACACUAUGGUGUUCCAGGUGGCAUGAACUGCGAAACAAUUUUCACAUUGUCUUAACUGCGUACCAAAAACUCGCAACUCAGAUAUUCAUCUCUAUGAUCAUAUCGUAGACAGUUUAUCCACUUGUCACAACGAUCUUCACUCUGAAAUAGCUUUGAACUUUUCAAUAUUUCAGACUUGUGAUUCAUCAAGUAAAUACUCGUGUAUCUACUCAAAUCGUCAGUGAAGUAAGAACAUAACGAUAUCCACUGCGUGCCUCAGCACUCAUUGGACUGCACACAUCAAAAAUGUAUUACUCCCAACAAGUUACUCUCUUGUUUCAUGUAGCAUGAUCUGCAUGUCUCAAGUGAUUCAAAAUCAAGUGAGCCCAAACGGUCCAUCCGCAUGGAGUUUCUUCAUGCGUUUAUACCAACAAGUAUGGUUUGCAUGUUUCAAUCGUUUCAAAAAAUGAGUGAGUACAAAGAUCCAUCAGCAUGGAGCUUCUUCAUGCAUUUUAUACCAACAUGACUCAAGUGGCAGUGCUACAACUAAGUGGUACUAUCAUUAUAACUUUGUAUCUUUUGGCACCAAUAUUAUGAACAUGUGUAACACUAUGAUCGAGAUUCAAUAAACCAUUGAGGGUAAUUAUUCAAGCAAAUAGAAUAACUAUUAUUCUCUUUAAUUGAAUAAUUGUAUUGCAAUGAACACGAUCCAAUCAUGUUCAUGAUUAACGCAAUCACCAAAUAACAAUUAUUUAAGUUUUACCACCAAUCUGGAUGAUAGAGGGAGCGUGCGAUGUUUGAUCACAUCAACCUUGGAAACACUUCCAACACGUAUUGUCACCUCGCCUUUAGCUAGUCUCCGUUUAUACCGUAGCUUUCAUUUCGAGUUACUAAUCACUUAGCAACCGAACCGGUAUCGAAUACCCUCGUGCUACUAGGAGUAAAGUACACAUCAAUAUCAUGCAUAUCAAAUAUACUUCUGUCGACUUUGCCAGCCUUCUUAUCUACCAAGUAUCUAGGGUAGCUCCGCCUCACUGACCGUUCCCCUCAUAACAGAAGCACUCAGUCUCGGGUUUGGGUUCAAUUUUGGGUUUCUUCAUUAGAGCAGCAACUUGUUUGCCGUUUCAUGAAGUAUCCCUUCAAGCCCUUACCCUUCUUGAAACUAGUGGUUUUACUAAGCAUCAACAAUUGAUGCUCCUUCUUGAUUUCUACUUUCACAGUGUCAAACAUUGCAAAUCACUCAAGGAUCAUCAUAUCUAUCCUUGAUUUGUUUAUAGUUCAUCACGAAGCUCUAGCAGCUUAGUCGCAGUGACUUUGGAGAACCAUCACUAUCUCAUCUGGAAGAUUAACUCCCACUUGAUUCAAGCGAUUGUUGUACUGAGACAAUCUGAGAACAUGCUCAACGAUUUGAGCUUUUCUCCUUUACUUUGUAGGCAAAGAAUCUUGUCGGAGGUCUUAUAUCUCUCAACAAGGGCACGAGCAUGAAAUCUCAAUUUCAUCUCUUUGAACAUCUCUUAUGUUCUGCGAUGUUUUCAAAACGUCUUCAGUGCCUUGCUUCUAAGCCAUUAAGUAUUGCGCACUGAACUAUUAUGUAGUCAUCAAAGACGUGUAUGUCAGAUGUUUGCAGCAUCCACAAACAACACCUGAGGUGCAGCACACCAAGUGGUGCAUUAAGGACAUAAGACUUCUGCGCAACAAUGAGGACAAUACUCAGUUUUACGGACUGAGUCCGCAAAGUUGCUACUAUCAACUUUGAACUAAAUUUUCUCUAGGAACAUAUAAAAACAGUAGAGCUAUAGCGCAAGCUACAUCGUAAUUUGCAAAUACCAUUGGACUAUGUUCAUGAUAAUUAGUUCAAUUAAUCAUAUUACUUAAGAACUCCCACUCAAAAAGUACAUCUCUCUAGUCAUUUGAGUGGUACAUGAUCCGAAUCCACUAUCUCAAGUCCGAUCAUCACGUGAGUCGAGAAUAGUUUCAGUGGCAAGCAUCUCUAUGCUAAUCAUAUCAACUAUACGAUUCAUGCUCGACCUUUCGGUCUCUUGUGUUCCGGGGCCAUGUCUGCACAUGCUAGGCUCGUCAAGUUUUACCCGAGUGUUCCGCGUGUGCAACUGUUUUGCACCCGUUGUAUGUGAACGUUGAGUCUAUCACACCCGAUCAUCACGUGGUGUCUCGAAUCAACAAACUGUAGCAACGGUGCAGAGUCGGGGAGAACACAAUUUCGUCUUGAAAUUUUAGUGAGAGAUCACCACAUAAUGCUAUCGUCGUUCUAAGCAAAAUAAGGUGCAUAAAAGGAUUAACAUCACAUGCAAUUCAUAAGUGAAUGAUAUGGCCAUCAUCACGUGCUUCUUUAUCUCCAUCACCAAAGCAUCGACAUGAUCUUCUUGUCACCGGUGCCACACCAUGAUCUCCAUCAACGUGUCGCCAUCGGGGUUGUCGUGCUACUUAUGCUAUUACUACUAAAGCUACGUCCUAGCAAUAUACUAAACGCAUCUGCAAACACAAACGUUAGUUUAAAGACAACCCUAUGGCUCCUGCGGGUUGCCGUACCAUCGACGUGCAAGUCGAUAUUAACUAUUACAACAUGAUCAUCUCAUACAUCCAAUAUAUCACAUCACGUCAUUGGCCAUAUCAUAUCACAAGCAUAUCCUUCGAAAACAAGUUAGACGUCCUCUAAUUGUUGUUGAAUGUUUUACGUGGUUUCAAUGGGUAUCUAGUAGAUCGCAUCUUACUUACGCAAAAACCACAACGCAGAUGUGCAAAUUGCUAUUUAUCCUCUCCAGGGACCGCCUCGGUCAAAACCAAUUCAACUAAAGUUGAAGAAACCGACACCCGCCAGUCAUCUUUAUGCAACGAGGUUGCAUGUCAAUCGAUGAAACUAGUCUUUUGUAAGCAUACGAAUAAUGUCGGUCCGGGCCGCUUCAAUCCAAAAAUACCGCCAAAUUGAGAAAAGACUCAGGAGGGCAGCAAAUCGAACAUCACCGUCCAGAAAACCCUUUGUGUUCUACUCGAGAUUACAUCUACGCAUGAACCUAGCUCAUGAUGCCUAUGUUGGGGAACGUCGCAUGGGAAACAAAAAAUUUCCUACGCGCACGAAGACCUACCGUGGUGAUGUCCAUCUACGAGAGGAGAUUUGGAUCUACGUACCCUUAAAGAUCGCACAGCAGGAAGCGUUAAGAAACGCGGUUGAUGUAGUGGAACGUCCUCACGUCCCUCGAUCCGCCCCNNNNNNNNNNUCCGUCCCACGAUCCGCUCCGAUCUAGUGCCGAACGGACGGCACCUCCAUGUUCAGCACACGUACAGCUCGACGAUGAUCUCGGCCUUCUUGAUCCAGAAAGUAAGACGAAGAAGUAGAUGAGUUCUCCGGCAGCGUGAAGGCGCUUCGGUGGUGGUUGCUACGACAACAAAAGUUCUUCCCCGGCAAUGGCGCCAGAAAUCCUUCUUGCUACUUCUCAAACAACAACGCCAAAAUUGACACGUUGACGGAGACUUGCUUGCGUCGGUUUUUGCCUUGAAGAGGAAAGGGUGAUGCAGCACAGGAGCAGUAAGUAUUUCCCUCAGUUUGAGAACCAAGGUAUCAAUCCAGUAGGAGAAUCUCGUCAAGUCCAGAGUACCUCCACAAACAUAAAGAUCUUGCACCCAAUGCUAUAAAGGGGUUGUCAAUCCCUUCAAGAUUGAUUGCAAAGUGAGAUUUGAAGGCGGAAAGUGCAACGAAGUAAAAUUGUAAGGCUAAAAAUAUGGUGUGGAGUAGACCCCGGGGCCAUAGUGUUCACUAGAGGCUUCUCUCAAAAUAGCAAAUAUUACAGUGGGUGAACAAAUUACUGUCGAGAAAUUGAUAGAACCGCGCAAAGUCAUGACGAUAUCUAAGGCAAUGAUCAUACAUAUAGGCAUCACGUCCGAGACAACUAGACCGAUACUUUCUGCAUCUACUACUAUUACUCCACACAUCGACCGCUAUCCAGCAUGCAUCUAGUGUAUUGAGUUCAUGACGAACAGAGUAACGCCUUAAGCAAGAUGACAUGAUGUAGAGGGAUAAUCUCAAACCAAUGAUGAGAACCCCAUCUUUUUACCCUCGAUGGCAACAACACGAUGCGUGCCUCGCUACCCCUUCUGUCACUGGGUGAGGUCACCACACGGUAUGAACCCAAAACCAAGCACUUCUCCCAUUGCAAGAAUCAUCGAUCUAGUUGGCCAAACAAAACCCACAACUCGAAGAGAAUUACAAGGAUAUGAAAUCAUGCAUAAGAGAGAUCGGAAGAAACUCAAAUAAGACUCAUAGAUAAUCUGAUCAUAAAUCCACAAUUGAUCGAAUGUCGACAAACACACCGCAAAAGAAGAUUACAUCGGAUAGAUCUCCAUGANNNNNNNNNNNNNNNNNNNNNNNNNNNNNNNNNNNNNNNNNNNNNNNNNNNNNNNNNNNNNNNNNNNNNNNNNNNNNNNNNNNNNNNNNNNNNNNNNNNNNNNNNNNNNNNNNNNNNNNNNNNNNNNNNNNNNNNNNNNNNNNNNAUACUAGCUAUGGACCCGUAGGUCUAUGGUGAACUACUCACGCAUCAUCGGAGAGGUCAUGGUGUUGCUGAAGAAGCCCUCUGUAUCCGAAUCCCCCCUCCGACAGGGCACCGGAACGUGCCCCAGAUGGGAUCUUGUAGAGACAGAAGCUUGCGGCGGCGGAAAAGUACUUUCGAUGAUCUCCUGAUUUUUUUCUGGGAUUUUAGGGAAUUUAUAGGCGAAAGUCCUAGGGCAGAGCUGGCCCAAGGAGCCCACAAGCCUGGGAGGCGCGGGCCCCCUGGUCGCGGCUAGGGGGCUUGUGGGGUCCCUGCAGCCCCCCUGCCCUGAUUCUCAGGUUUCCCGAUCUUCUUCUGUUUCAGAAAAAAUCUUUUUGACAGUUUCAUUCCGUUUGGACUCCGUUUAAAAUCCUCCUUUGAAAGGGGUCAAAAACAUGGGGAAAUAGGAACUGGCACUGAGUUAAUAAGUUAGUCCCAAAAAGUAUAUAAAAGGCAUGCAAAACAUCCAAAGUUUGACAAGAUAAUAGCAUGAAACCAUAAAAAUUAUAGAUACAUUGGAUACGUAUCAAGCAUCCCCAAGCUUAACUCCUGCUCGUCCUAAAGUAGGGAAGUGAUAAAGAAUUAAAUUUUGAUGUGGAAUGCUACCUAGCAUAGUUGUCCUUUGCAACUUCUUUCAUGUGACAUGAGUGUUCAGAUCCGUGAGAUUGAAAACAAUAGUUUGCUAUUGACAUGAAAACAAUAAUACUUCAAGCAAACUAGCAAGGUAAUCAUGAACUUUAAAAAUAACAAGGCCAAGGAAAGUUAUCCCUACAAAAUUAUAUAGUCUGGCUAUGCUCCAUCAUCCUCACACAACUAAUGUAAAUCAUGCACAACCCCGGUAUUGGCCAAGAAAUAGUUUUCGCACUCUUACUUUCUCAAACUUUUUAUAACUAUCAUGCAAUACAUGAGCGUGAGCCAUGGAUAUAGCACUAUAAUUGGAAUAGAGUGUGGUGGUGGUUGUGAGACAAAAAGGAGAAGAUGGUCACAUUGACUCUGCGUAUCAAAGGGCUAUGGAGAUACCCAUUAAUAGAUAUCAAUGUGAAUGAGUAGGGAUUGCCAUACAAAGGAUGCACUAGAGCUAUAAGUAUGUGAAAGCUCAAAAGGAAAACUAGUGGGUGUGCAUCCAACUUGCUUUCUCACGAAGACCUAGGGCAAUUUUGAGGAAACCCAUCAUUGGAAUAUACAAGCCAAGUUAUAUAGUGAAGAUUCCAACUAGCAUAUGGUGGUGACGAAACGAGAGGCUCUCAAUCAUGAAGAACAUGGUGCUAUUAUGAAGCACAAGUGUGGAAAAAGAUAGUAGCAUUGUCCCUUCUCUCUUUUCUCUCUUCUUCUUUUUUAUUUGGGCUCUUAGGCCUCUUUUUCUCUUUUUUUGGGCUCUUUGGCCUCUUUUUUUAUUUUAUUUCCUCACAUGGGACAAUGCUCUAAUAAUGAUGAUCAUCACACUUUUAUUUACUCACAGCUCAAAGCUUAGAAAUGACUUCUAUAGGAAAUGCCUCCGGCAGUGUACCGGGAUGUGCAACGAUCUAGCUUGGCGUAUGACGUUGAAACAUAUCGCUAGCUAUCUUGCGAUCAUGCAAUGGAAAUAUGAGAGUGACGGCACAAGUCAUGAGACGGAACGGUGGGAGUUGCAUGUCAAUAUAUCUCGGAAUGGCUACGAAAAUGCCAUAGUAGGUAGAUAUGGUGGUUGUUUUGAGGAAGGCAUUUGGUGGGUUUGUGUACCGGCGAGAAUUGCACGGCACUAGAGAGGCUAGCAAUGGUGAAAGGUGGAAGUGCAUCUAUACCAUGGACUCACAUUAGUCAUGAAGAACUCACAUACAUGUUGCGAAAUUUUUUAUUAGUAAUCGAAACAAAGUGCUAAACGCAUACUCCUAGGGGAAGGGUUGGUAGGUGUUAACCAUCGCACGAACCCGACCUCAACACAAAGGAUGACAAUCAAUAGAUCAAUUAUGCUUCGACUUCCUAACAUAGCGGUUCACCAUACGUGCAUGCUACGGGAAUCACUAACUUUAACACAAGUAUUUCUAGAUUCACAAUACCCUACUAACAUAACUCUUAAUAUUACCAAAUCCACGCCUCCAAACUAAUUGAGAGGAAUCAAAACUUCUCUUUCUACUCAAUGCACAUGAAUAUGGAGGUUUUUGUAUCCUCUUUGGGUACCUAUCACCUUUGGGACUACUUUCAUAGCAUAAGCCAACUACCAAAUCACGCACCGCCGUGCUCUAACAGAUCUAAGUGAAGCACAUAUAGCAAAAUUGUCUAGCUGAAAAGAUAUAAGUGAAGCACAAUGAGCAUUCUAGCAAAAUCACGGUGAGUUCAUGUCUAUCUCUAAAGGUGUGCAUCAAGGAUGAUUGUGACACAACAAAAAGAAAAUAAUCCUAAGAUACAAGACACUCCAAGCAAAACACAUAUCAUGUGGUGAAUAAAAAUAUAGCUCCAAGUAAUGUUACCGAUGGAUUGAAGACGAAAGAGGGGAUGCCUUCCCGGGGCAUNNNNNNNNNNNNNNNNNNNNNNNNNNNNNNNNNNNNNNNNNNNNNNNNNNNNNNNNNNNNNNNNNNNNNNNNNNNNNNNNNNNNNNNNNNNNNNNNNNNNGGAUGCCUUUGCGGCCUGUGUUCGUUUAUGAUGGACUAGUUGGAGCACCCCUGCAGGGUUUAAUCUUUCAGAAAGCCGUGCCCACGGUUAUGUGGCAACUUGGAAUAUUUUGUUAACAUCCGGUAUUAGAGAACUUGAACAUAAGCUAAUAAAAUUGCCAACUGUGUGCGUAUCCGUGUCUGUCCCCUCGAAGAUCCCUCUUCGAUCGGGAACACGGUGGGGUUAUGAAUGCCGUAGGUAGGUGGUCAGGAUCACUUAGUGAUCAAGUAUUCCCGACCGCUAGUGUAGACCACCUUCACAAUUACUUCGCGUAAGUUAGCCACUUAAUCAAGCUUAGGAUGCUGCAGCCUUAUACACUUCACCCUUACCCUACCUAAUAACAUGACUAGUUCUGGCACCAAGGUCUUAGAUUGCUGAGUCCCCGUGGCUCACGGAUUCCUCCGAAACUCCCAGCAGGUACAGGUACCCCAGAUAUAGAUGAUCCCGACGGCACCCAGCUGGCGUGGCAGUACGACGAGGAGACAGACCGCCUCUACGUGACCUAUCCAGGGGACUGAGGCGUGGUCGUGAUCGUGGGCCUGCAGGCAGGGUAGCAUAGCAUUUCCAUGUUUUGUAGUCCGUAGCGGAACUACNNNNNNNNNNNNNNNNNNNNNNNNNNNNNNNNNNNNNNNNNNNNNNNNNNNNNNNNNNNNNNNNNNNNNNNNNNNNNNNNNNNNNNNNNNNNNNNNNNNNAAAAAAAAGAGCAGGUGGGAAAAGGGGGAAGGACUCCUCCUUCCAAACCUAAUUGGACUCGGUUUGGAAGGGGAGGGUUGCCCCCCUUGGCUCGGCCGCCCCCUUGGGAGUCCUUGGACCCCAAGGCAAGGCUCCCCCUCCUCCCCCUAUAUAUACGCAGGUUUUAGGGCUGAUUUGAGACAACUUUGCCACGACAGCCCGACCACAUAUCUCCACGGUUUCACCUCUAGAUCGCGUUUCUGCGGAGCUCGGGCGGAGCCCUGUGAGAUAAGAUCACCACCAACCUCCGUAGCUCCGUCACGCUGGCGGAGAACUCAUCUACCUCUCCAUCACUCUUGCUGGAUCNNNNNNNNNNAGUUUCACCUCUAGAUCGCGUUUCUGCGGAGCUCGGGCGGAGCCCUGCUGAGAUAAGAUCACCACCAACCUCCGGAGCGCCAUCACGCUGGCGGAGAACUCAUCUACCUCUCCAUCACUCUUGCUGGAUCAAGAAGGCCGAGAUCAUCGUCGAGCUGUACGUGUGCUGAACGCGGAGGUGCCGUCCGUUCGGCACUAGAUCGUGGGACUGAUCGCGGGACGGUUCGCGGGGCGGAUCGAGGGACAUGAGGACGUUCCACUACAUCAACUGUGUUCACUAAUGCUUCUGCUGUGCGGUCUACAAGGGUACCUAGAUCGAACAUCCCCUCUCGUAGAUGGACAUCACCAUGAUAGGUCUUCGUGCGCGUAGGAAAUUUUUUGUUUCCCACGCGACGUUCCCCAACAGUGGCACCAUGAGCUAGGUUCAUGCGUAGAUGUCUUCUCGAGUAGAACACAAAAGUUUUUGUGGGCGGUGAUGUGCGUUUUGCUGCCCUCCUUAGUCUUUUCUUGAUUCCGCGGUAUUGUUGGAUUGAAGCGGCUUGGACCGACAUUACUCGUACGCUUACGAGAGACUGGUUUCAUCGUUACGAGUAACCCCCUUUGCUCAAAGAUGACUGGCAAGUGACGGUUUCUCCAACUUUAGUUGAAUCNNNNNNNNNNNNNNNNNNNNNNNNNNNNNNNNNNNNNNNNNNNNNNNNNNNNNNNNNNNNNNNNNNNNNNNNNNNNNNNNNNNNNNNNNNNNNNNNNNNNUGGGAUCUUGUAUUACGGAACGAGUAAAGAGACUUGCUGGUAAACGAGAUUGAAAUAGGUAUGCGGAUACUGACGAUUGAAUCUCGGGCAAGUAACGUACCGAAGGACAAAGGGAAUGACAUACGGGAUUAUACGAAUCCUUGGCACUGAGGUUCAAACGAUAAGACCUUCGUAGAAUAUGUAGGAUCCAAUAUGGGCAUCCAGGUCCCGCUGUUGGAUAUUGACCGAGGAGUCUCUCGGGUCAUGUCUACAUAGUUCUCGNNNNNNNNNNNNNNNNNNNNNNNNNNNNNNNNNNNNNNNNNNNNNNNNNNNNNNNNNNNNNNNNNNNNNNNNNNNNNNNNNNNNNNUGGGUCAUGUCUACAUAGUUCUCGAACCCGCAGGGUCUACACACUUAAGGUUCGACGUUGUUUUAUGCGUAUUAGAGUUAUAUGGUUGGUUACCGAAUGUUGUUCGGAGUCCCGGAUGAGAUCACGGACGUCACGAGGGUUUCCGGAAUGGUCCGGAAACGAAGAUUGAUAUAUAGGAUGACCUCAUUUGAUUACCGGAAGGUUUUCGGAGUAACCGGGAAUGUACCGGGAAUGACGAAUGGGUUCCGAAGUUCACCGGGGGGGCAACCCACCCCGGGGAAGCCCAUAGGCCUUGAGGGAGGCACACCAGCCCUUAGUGGGCUGGUGGGACAGCCCAAAAGAGCCCUAUGCGCCAUAGAGAUAAAAAUCAAAGAGAAAGAAAAAAAAAGGGAGGUGGGAAGGAAGGGAAGGACUCCCUCCCACCAAACCAAGUCCAACUCGGUUUCGGGGGGGAGUCUUCCCCCCUUGGACUCGGCCGACCCCCUUGGGGCUCCUUGAGCCCCAAGGCAAGGUCCCCUCCCUCCCACCUAUAUAUACGGAGGUUUUAGGGCUGAUUUGAGACGACUUUUCCACGGCAGCCCGACCACAUACCUCCACGGUUUUUCCUCUAGAUCGCGUUUCUGCGGANNNNNNNNNNGGCGGAGCCCUGCUGAGACAAGAUCAUCACCAACCUCCGGAGCGCCGUCACGCUGCCGGAGAACUCUUCUACCUCUCUGUCUCUCUUGCUGGACCAAGAAGGCCGAGAUCAUCGUCGAGCUGUACGUGUGCUGAACGCGGAGGUGCCGUCCGUUCGGUACUAGAUCGUGGGACUGAUCGCGGGAUUGUUCGCGGGGCGGAUCGAGGGACGUGAGGACGUUCCACUACAUCAANNNNNNNNNNNNNNNNNNNNNNNNNNNNNNNNNNNNNNNNNNNNNNNNNNNNNNNNNNNNNNNNNNNNNNNNNNNNNNNNNNNNNNNNNNNNNNNNNNNNCGGACCGUCGCCGUUGCACGUCGAACGACGCGGAACGCCGCCGCUCGCUCCGUCCACCGGUCGCCUCCCUCCGUCCUCGGAACCAGGCGCCGCCGCCGUCCUCCGAACCCGACCGAGGCCGGCGCCGGCCGGCGCCCACUCGACCCCCGAGAACCACGUCCAGGGUCGACCUCCGAGGCGCCACUUGGCCGCGGGCAGGCUGCGCUGGCUCCGGGCUCCGGGCGCGGGGGCGGGCGAGCGGCUGCUAGGCGGAGGACGAAGAGGAGGAGGAGGAAGACUUGACGAGGGCGGAGAGCCAGACGACGACGACGUUGAUGGAGAUGGUCACGUACGGCCUAGCGUCCACGGAGAAGUUGAAGCUGAAGUAGGACGCUCCCGGCGCCGAGGAAGAUGCCGCCAUCUCCAUGUCCAUGGUCUCUGUCUGUGGUAUGCCUGUCUCCUCUGCUCUUGCUGCCUUGGUGCUUCUUGCUUGCCUCUGGGAUGAGAGUUGUCGCUGGUCGCUGCGUGCUGGAUGCUAUUUGCAGAGCACGAAGGCUUGGCAUAUAUAGCUUGGUAGCCUCGCGAUAAGGCGCGAAACAAGUUGGAAGCGGGAUCGKACCCGUUGCGACUUGGGAAGAAGGAAAGCCGGGAGCGAAGAAGGUUCCCGGAAGCGGGGAGGCGUGGUGGAAACGCCGGACCAGACCGAGCGGUCGCCGGUUCGUGGCUUGUGAAAGUGAUGGAGCUGUCGUGCGCGCGCGCGCGGGGGUGUUUUUCAGCGGGUUUCGAGGGAGCUUCGCGGCGUGGAAACAUGCGCACCGGCGACCUGACCGUCCUGCUUUCUCGUGUUCUCGGUUGGGGUUGGCGUUGGAAUUCCACGCAGCCUCUCUCUCUCCUAUUUUAGUGGGCACGUCGCUCUCGUUUCGUCUGUGGUGCAGCCGCUCGUCUGCUACUCUUUCCGUUGUCGGGUUUCCUCCUGGUUGAUUUUCUUUUUGCGACUGAAUUCUGAUUUGAUUUUGAUAGAUAUAUGUGCGGUGGUGGACUGGUCGCAGGGAGCUGGGGGUGGUAUACGGCGACCGGUGUGAAGGAAGGUUGGUGAGUUGGCUGGCGAGCGCUUGACCAGAUUUCGUGGUGGACUCGACCAAACCAAACCAAACAGUGGCGUAGGUCUUUGCGCCAGCGGGCGUGAGGGAAUGCUUGCUCGUGCCCCCACCACCGGGUCGUCUCCGAUGACUGAGGUGUUUACACGCGACAGAGGUGCUAAUUAUGUGUGCUGCCGGCUGCAUAUAGAUCGAUAUACGCUAAAUGGAAACAUGACAACAAAACGUACGUUUGCCCGCACAAACCUUCCUGGACGGCAUGUUUGUCUCACGCUACUUUUCAUCCUUUGUUUUACAAAUUUGAAAUCUGAAGCUACAUUUCUUUUAAACACGAUAUAGAUGCAAGAGCUCAUAUAUAAGAGCAACUCUAGCAUACCCCGCAUCCCGUCGGCCCGUAAAACGCGUUUGCAGGUCGCGCAAAACAGCUUUUGCAGGCUGGCGUGGGCUGGCACAGAUGCGGACCCACCAAACGGAUCCGUAAAAAAAUAUAGUCGCGAAAUAUUCCUUUUUACGGGUCGGCUUUGCGGGAUCUGCUCUUUGCACCGCUGCUUCCCACGUAUCAUUAGCCCGCAAAUAUCAAAUACUCCCUCUGUAAGUUAAUAUAAGAGCAUUUAGACUACUAAAGUAGUGUUCUAAAUGCUCUUAUAUUAGUUUACGGGGACAUAAUUCAACAGCCGAAAACAAACUGAAUUAUUCGAAUCAAACACAAUACAAUAAUCAUCCGCAUUACAAACAAUUAUUCAAAACAUGUCAUGAAUACAAAUACAAAUGAAUACAAAAAUAAGUCACUGUCCAGCCAUUUGCCAAUGGUGUUCAAUGAGAUCUUUCUGAAGUUGAAAGUGGGUGUGUGGGUUUUCAAUCUCCUUGUCUGUCUGAAGAAAAGCUCUAAUGCGGUUUGGGUCUCUAGCUGGUUUAACACGGCUACCCACAUUGUCGUAAAAGAAUUCUAAGUUCCCAAGAUUCCUCGCAAGCUUGAACAAUUUUCACAAAGAGGGAUCGACGCAUUCCUUCUUUGAGUAAAUUACCGGCAAUUUUCCUCGCAAGCUUGAACAAUUUUCACAAAGAGGGAUCGGCGCAUUCGGUACCUUCUCCGGAAGAGGUGUGGAGGAUAUGUAGGAUGUUGGGGAACGUCGCAUGGAAAACAAAUUUUUUCCUACGCGCACAAAGACCUAUCAUGGUGAUGUCCAUCUACGAGGGGGAUUUCAGAUCUACGUACCCUUGUAGAUCGCACAGCAGAAGCGUUAAUAAACGCGGUUGAUGUAGUGGAACGUCCUCACGUCCCUCGAUCCGCCCCGCGAACCGUCCCACGAACCGUCCCGCGAUCUGUCCCACGAUCCGCUCCGAUCUAGUGCCGAACGGACGGCACCUCCGCGUUCAGCACACGUACAGCUCGACGAUGAUCUCGGCCUUCUUGAUCCAGCAAGAGAGACAGAGAGGUAGAUGAGUUCUCCGGCAGCAUGACGGCACUCCGAAGGUUUGUGGUGAUCUAAUCUCAGCAGGGCUCCGCGCGAGCUCCGCAGAAACGCGAUCUAGAGGAAAAACCGUGGAGGUAUGUGGUCGGACUGCCGUGGAAAAGUUAUCCCAAAUCAGCCCUAAAACCGCCGUAUAUAUAGGUGGGAGGGGAGGGGCCUUGCCUUGGGGCUCAAGGAGCCCCAAGGGGUUCGGCCGAAGGGGGGAGGAGGAGUCCUCCUCCAAUCCUAGUCCAACUAGGAUUGGAAGGUGGAGUCCUUCCCUUCCUUCCCACUUCCACUUUUUUCUCUUUGAUUUUCUUAUCUCCCUGCGCAGGGGCCUCUCUGGGCUUGCCCACCAACCCACUAAGGGCCGGUGCGGCACCACUAAGGCCUAUGGUCUUCCCCGGGGUGGGCUCGNNNNNNNNNNNNNNNNNNNNNNNNNNNNNNNNNNNNNNNNNNNNNNNNNNNNNNNNNNNNNNNNNNNNNNNNNNNNNNNNNNNNNNNNNNNNNNNNNNNNCUAAAAAAAGGGUUACUUUUAGUUUUGUAAAACAAAUUUUUAGGUAAUGUUACCUUUUCUAUAAUUUUUACUGAAAUUACUAAAACAAUAAUUACAGUUUUUCUAAAAAAAAUAGUUUUGAAAUUUUGAAAAAAUUAGGUUUAACUUUUUCAUUUUUUUAAGGUAGUUUUAMAAAWARUUACCAAAUUWCARWAAHAAUUUAAAAAAAAUAAAAAAAAUAAAAACAAAGAACAAAAAGGGUAAAAGGGAAAGAAAAUAAAAGAAAGAAAAAAACAAACAAAAAAUCUAAAAAAGAUAAAAUACCAAAAACGUAGAAGAAACAGGAGGAACCUUCUAGGAGAAAAAACGACUGAGAAACUAUAGAAGGUUCCCCAAACCGGAAUGGUGCAACUUGUUAAUAGUCGGCCCAGGUGAUUACCAUAAAAUGGACACAAUUUUAAUUGUAGAUGUAACUAAUUCACAAAAUGAAUCGUGCAUGAAAAUUCACAUGCAUAUCUUCUUUGUGUGGCGCCCGGUUGUACAUCGUGUAGCAUUUGAUCUACAGGCGCUACACCUCUGAUAAGCGUGGCAUCCGAGGUUAUAAUUCUGAUUGUAUGAUGUUUAAAUGAAAGGAGUCACUCUACAUUAUAUGACACCCGCUGAAAGAAGCCACAUUAUUUUAUAUUAAAAUUGAUGUAACUUUUAAUCCUUGCAUCCGAUGAAAAUAUGUUUUAUAUGAAUAUUGUGUAUUUUUCUGUGUUCUACGCAAUGGUGUCAUUUCCAUCGAUGUUAAGAUCAAUUUUCUUGAUGAAAUCUCUGUUGCAAAAAUGCGUCAUAAUAUAAUUGAUCGGAUUUGUUAAGACUUACAAAGUUGACAUGAUGGUAGCCACUGACUUAUAGCUUUUAUGCAUUUGCAUUCUACAUGAGUUUUACCCUAUAUAAUGUGUAUGUUCACGUCAUGUUCAUGCUUGUCAUGUUAGUCAUCUUUAAUAUGUUCAUGUCUUGCAUCUAAGUGACUAACAUGAUAUAUUUUUUGUAAACAAUCUUAUGAAGCUUUAUUUAACUGAAAUCAAUGUUUACAGAAAUAAAUGCAGGAUCAUCGGGUUGCUUAACCACACAUGGUCGCCAACCCCUAGUCUGGUAACAUGCUUCGUUAUGGAUGGGCCAGUUCCAAACACAGUAGGCCCACUUCCACCUCGUAGCCGGGCUUAGUCAGGUCAGUCGUCCAUUGUAGGAUUUUCUUCCACCUGGUCUUCGCACCUCUGAGACGGGGAGAUGCGGAGGCCGUCGGCUUCGUCGCCUCCGGCGAGGGGACCGGCGUUGGCUGCAGCAGCCGCUGUCGUUCUCCUCCCGGCUAUUUUCCCCGCGCUGUUCUCCCCGCUCGGCCGCGCCUUCCCUUCCCUAUUCUCGGUGCGUCCCCUAUAGUCGCCAUCCUCCUCUCCAGGCGGCUCGAUUUGAGCCGGUGUAGCGUCAUAUUGGCGAUCUUCCGCUUCUCUAGCUGCUUCCUACGCCUCUCCUUGCUAGUUCGCCACUUUGCCGAGUCCGAUUGUUUGGGGUGGGCGAAAAUUGGAUAUAAUCUAGAGGGAUUGGUACUUUUGGGGGGAGGAAUGUAUGUGGAAGGUGAAAUGAUGUGGUGAAUUCGUGGCUUUGUCCCCUCUUGAAUUGGAACUAGUACGAAAUUACAUUUGUUUAUUUGGUGUAUAUGUAUGUCGAUGCAGAGUAACCUGUAAAUAAGCAAAGUGUGCAACCUGUAAAUAAGCGAAGUUUGCAAGAUCUGGAUUCUUUUGAUGGACAGCAUCAUGCCAGUUGCAUCGGAUAUUUUGGUUUGGACAGUGGUCUCCAAUGUGUGAUUACGAGUAGAUUUUUUUGUAUGCAUUUCGGGGCAGUGUGGGACGCUGGGACUGUACUCGGCUACCAUGAGCCAUGACAGUAUUGGGAAUAACAUGUGUACUGGAUUACUCUACUAUGGCUGUGAAGAUAGAUUGGCUACUGAUGUGGACCUUAGUAAAUAUUUCUGCAGACUGCAAUAUUGUCUUUUUAAGAUUAAUCAUGUGGACAGCGUGUAUACUGCAGGAGUGGAAUGCCCCUAAGCCAAUGCACGAGUCUCUUUUCAAUGAGUCUUUGCGAUGGACAAUAGUGAGUAUUCACAACUCAGAUAAAUACUGGAAAUAGUUAUGUUGAAGUCUAUUUGUAACUUACUCUCUGUACAGCCAGAUGAACAAAAAAGAGAUCUCUGGACACCCUUGCCUGAUCAGGGGUGGAAACCAUGCAUAAGGUCAUCGAUCACUCGUGGUAACAUUCUGUGAUAAAUCUGUUUAGGUAAUGAUAUGCCUCCCGCUGCGAUAGAUCACUAAGCAUUUGGUUAUAUGAAGUGUAGGGUUACCUUCACAACCCAGUGGGUACAUACAAGUAUUUCUUGAUGGUGGCCUGAACCAGCAGAGAAUGGGGGUAACUCACUUCUUAUGUACCAAACUCAUGAUGUUAGAUUUAAUAUAACUUGCUUGGUUGAAACUUCAGAUCAUCUGGCUCUUUCUUUUUGUUCUCUAGAUAUGUGAUGCAGUUGCGGUUGCUAAGAUUUUGAACGCUACUCUUGUGAUCCCACAUCUUGAAGUAAACCCUGUUUGGAAAGACUCAAGGUGCUUUUGGAGUUUCAGAGUACUACUGUAUCUUGUUAAUUUUAAAUACUCCUGUUAGAUUGGAAGUGAAAGGUUUAGUUUGGUCUGCAGCUCAUUUGGAGAUAUUUUUAAUGUGGAUCACUUCAUCAACACCCUAAGAGGCGAUGUUUCAAUAGUGAGAGCUCCAUUAAAAGAAUUUUCGUGGAGCACAAGAGAGUUCUAUAGCACAGGAAUACGUGCUACAAGAAUAAAAACUGCACCUCUUCAUGCCUCGGCUAAUUGGUAUAUAGAGAAUGUCAGUCCUAUCCUGCAAAGGUUUGUGAUUUUCUUGGCCAUAUAGUCGCUUCUCUAGACCCCUUGAGUAAGUGGCAUAAUAAUGCUAAGAAACUGCAGUUCAUGUUUAGCCCAGGUUGAUGGCCACUGAACUGGCUUUAUAGUAUUAACAUGACAACUCGUUGUCUAACUUCAUUAGUUGGUUACUCUGUGAGGGGAAUCCUUCACCGAAAAUCUCAUGCAAGCGUUGUUUCCCUUGUCAGCUAUGGCAUUGCUGCCAUUGCCCCCUUUUCUCACCGCCUUGCAUUCGAUGAUUUGCCUGUGGAUAUUCAACGCCUGCGCUGUAAAGUUAACUUUGAAGCCCUGGUUUUUGUGCCUUACAUUAUAUCACUGGGGAGGACCCUUGAGAAGCGCUUGAGAUCUCCAGUGCAGGGGCAUUCCACUGAAUUAACCCAACAAGUUGUAGAAGAUUACACAGAUCAGUCUGAAAAGUAUGCAGUUGUACAUCUCCGCUUCGAUAAGGUAAAUGGAAGGGCUUCUGCUAUAUUUGGAAGUCGUACGUGUAUAUUUUUGUUAUCUUCAAGGAAUUUCCACUCUGAAACAACUCAAGCUGACCUACAUUUUUCAGGAUAUGGCUGCACAUUCUGCCUGUGACUUUGGCGGUGGUAGAGCUGAAAAAUUAGCUCUGGCUAAGUACAGGCAAGUUAUCUGGCAAGGGAGGGUAUUAAAUUCACAGUUAAGUGAUGAGGAGCUUCGAAACACAGGACGCUGCCCGUUGACUCCAGAAGAGAUUGGAUUGAUACUAGUAGCGCUUGGCUUUGACAGCAAAACUCGAUUUUAUCUUGCCUCUCACAAGGUUUGACUCUCUGCCUCUGCCGGUGCGCUUACUUAUUCUCCGUAGUGGAAGCAGAAAUUUCUAACAUACGUCACCUAUUAAGGUAUAUGGAGGGGAAGCUAGGAUCUCUAGCUUGCGCAAGCUUUUCCCGCUGAUGGUAGACAAGAGGAGCCUUGCAUCGGCAGAUGAGCUUGCUAGUAUCGAAGGGAAGGCUUCUGUGCUAGCAGCUCUUGACUACCAUAUCAGCAUGCACAGCGAUGUUUUCAUCUCUGCUUCUCCUGGCAAUAUGCAUAAUGCACUGGUAAAUCCUGUUUGGCUUCAGCUGUAUUCGCUAGAUUUCUCCUCUUUCUUUAUUGGUCCUGACCAGAUGAUGGUUGAUUCAGCUGGCCCACCGGACCUAUAGGAAUCUGAAGACGAUAAGGCCAAACAUGACAUUGCUUGGCCACAUAUUUGUGAACAAGAGCAUGGAGUGGUCAGAGUUUCAGCAGGCUGUGCAGGCAGGCCACAAAGGUAGAUACGGGCAGAUCCGGCUGAGGAAGCCGAAGCAGUCUAUCUAUACUUAUCCUGCCCCAGAUUGUAUGUGCCCAGGGUAGAUCGCCAAGUUUUCUGCGGUGCACCGACAAAAGAAAUGUGCUGAGUUACUUGCAGUUUCUAAUUAGGUUAAGCUCAUGUGGAUAUGUAUAUUUAGUUCUGAAUUUUCGGUUGAAUCAGUUUGCUGCCACUUCCAAUAGGAUCUUAAAAUUUUAACCAAAAUUUACGCACUAUACGUUGAGCCUUGAAGGACUCUAAUCUUGUGCUGUUUGCACGAUCCAUACGACGAAGUUGUAGUUUUGGAGCUGAUGUUGUGUAUCUGUGACCUGACUUGAUAUACUGGAUCCUUUUUCUUCUUUUAUUCCGCUGUUCUACUUCUGGGAGUCCGGUGUUCUGAAUUUCUGCUUUGAUUUAGUAUUACUAUCGUCAUGGCGAAUUCGAUACUAAUGCUUCAAACUAGUAGUAUGUUUUGCCAUGUUUUAAAAUAACACGCAUGGGUGAUAUUACAAGUACAGCCUCCGUCGGAAGCCAUGGGCGAAUCCACAAGGACAAAGUUUCACCACCGGAACUUUAAGAUUACAACACGUUUUUGCACUGCCACCUACUCCUCCACACUUUGUACAUCCUCAGCACCCCAAAAUAAUAAUUCAGACCACCUGAAACCUCCUUGGUCGGUGAAAUCGACGGAUUUAUUGGCCGGAGAUGGUCUGGAUGAUGGUGUUGUGCCAUGGGUCGGCCAGGUGCUGCUGCAGGUUCUCGAACGGCCCCUUCCCGGUCACGUUGUGCUGCACCAGGAACCCCAGGAACGCCAGCAUGGCCAGUCUCCCUGAACGAAUGAACGCGCGCGCGAAUACAGAUUAACGAGAGCCGUCGGAUUAGAAACCCGAGGGUUCAGAUGAGACUGAAGAGAGGAUGGACGUACCGUUGGCGAGCUCCUUCUCCUUGUUCUCGAGGGUGGGGGCGAAGUUGAGGGGGUUGAAGACGCUGCCGGGGUAGCCGCACUCGUGGGGCGGGAGGCUGUAGCUCUUGAAGAUGGGGUCCUGGUUGACGGAGCCCGGGUUCUUGAUGUCCUGCCACCGCCGGAUCUCGACGUAGUGGAAGAGGAUGAACUCGAUGACGAAGAGCGUGGAGGAGGAGGCGAAGUAGGUCUCCUUGCCGGCGUCGUACCACUCGGGCGCGUUCAGCAGCCCCGCCUUGGUCAGCACCUCCGGGAUCAGCAUCCCCGCCACCCCCAGCAUCGCCCACCGCCCGUUCACCAGCUCCGCCUGCACGAACCACCGCAGGUCCUCCGGGUCCUCCGCCAGCGCCAGCGGGUCAAAACCAUUGUCACCCGCCAGACUGCACACGUAUCGUCCGUCAGUACGGUCGUAAACAUAUGUAACAGCUGCGUGCAUGGGCACGACGGAAGUGGUGUGGCGUGUCGUGUGGUCUGCUCACCUGCCGUCGAGGUAGGCAGGGGACUGGAGGCCGGGGAGCCAGGACCCCUUGGCCUGGACGGCGACGUCGCGGCGGGUGGACUUGGCGAGCCCGACGCGGCCGGAGUCGCCCAGGAACCGGGGGCUCGACGCUGACGCCGCCGGCCGGAGAGCGGCCACGGGAGCGCGGGCACUGACCGACGACAUCUUCUGCUACUCCUGACUAGAGAGCGCGUACGGCAGGAGAGUGAGAGUGCGCGCGUGUGUGUGUGGUGGUUCUGCCUCUCCGCACCUGCGCUUGGCCCUUUGUAUUGGGCUGCGCUUCGGUGAUUUGUGGGUGUGGUGAGCUGGGCCCCGGAGGUCGAGAUGGACGGCGUGUGUUGGCGCCACCGCGUCGUCCGACGGCUGCGAUGCGUUUGCGCCUGGAGACUGGAUAGAUGGACCAGUGGGAGACCGGGAGGCGUAUGUGCGUUAUCUGGAUGAUGGAUAAUGCGGAAUCAAAAGGGGGAUCGCUAUUGGUCGGGGAAACGCACGUUCGGUUUACCUGGCUGCCACGUCGAUCGGACGAUCCGUCAUGAUGUACAGCUGUACAUGGUGCCAUGGCGGGUUGGUCUGUUUGCUUCAACUUUCGAGCUCUUCCACGGGAAACCGGCUUUCGCCCUAGAAAUGGCACGGAUGGUCGAACGGAUACAAGGUGAUGGAAAGAACCCCAUAGAAGGCGGUCGCGGCGAGCCGUCACGAUCCCGUAAUCGAACAAGAAAAUAAGAGUCGCCACACCUAACAUGAGGCGACCUAGACUAUUGAAUCGGAACUCAACCGUGCCGCCUAGGAAAAUCAUAGACCAUUAUGCAUAAAACACAUCAAGUUAUCGCCGGAGAAAGUAAGUGUCGAUCCAAUCCGUGGAGUUCCAAUCCUGCGAGCAGAUAGCGAGGACCAAUGACAUUGACUACGAGGACACGUGUAAAUGAUAGGGGAUCAACGGAUCCACUCCACGACGAAGCCGAAGGCACCGAUGUGCUGUAACUGGAUGAUAUUUGUGUUCCCCGACAAUGCCCCGAGGAGGGUAAUGAUGUAGAGCGUUGAUACGUCUCCAACGUAUUUAUGGUGUUUUUAUUGUGUCAUGCUAUUAUAUUAUCAAUUUCGGAUGCUUUAUAUGCUAUUUUAUAUCAUUUUUAAGAACUAACCUAUUAACCGAGUGUCCAGUGUCAGUUCCUAUUUUUUGCGUGUUUUGACUUCUCAGAAAAUCAAUAACAAACGAAGUUCAAACAUGAUGAAACUUUAUGAUGAUUCUUUCUGGACCAAAAAGGGACCCCUAGAAGGUUCGGGAGGAGGCCAGAAGACGUAGGGAGAGCCACAAGCUCACAGGGUCGCCGCCCCCCCCCCCGGGGGGGGGGGUAGGGCCCCUUGAGCUCGUGACUCCCACAGAACUCAUUUUGACCUAAUUCCACCUCUAUAUAUUCCCAUAUAAUCCCAAACCAACAGAGAGACACCCGAAACACUUUUCCCACUGCCGCAAGACUUUGUUCUUCCGUGAUUCCAUGUGGAGGCCUUUCCGGUACUCUAGCAGAAGGUGAAUCGAUCAUGGAGUCCAUCUACAUCAACCUUGAUGUCUCCAUGAUGGUGCGUGAGUAGUUCACCACGGACAUACGGGUCCAUAGCUAGUAGCUAGAUGGCUUAUUCUCCCUCUUUGAUCUUCAGUACCAUGUUCUCCUUGAUCUUUCUGGAAUUCUGUCCAAUGUAAUCUUCUUUUGUGGUGUGUUUGUUAGGAUCCGAUGAAUUGUGUGUUUAUGAUCAGAUUAUUCAUUUAAAGUAAUUGAGUCUUUUCUGAACUUUAUUAUGCAUGAUUGUUAUUGCUUUGUAUUUCUGUGUGAUCUAUCUAUUUGGUUUGGCCAACUAGAAUGAUUUAUCUUCAGUGGGGGAGAUGCUCUGUGAUGGGUUCAAUCUUGGGGUGUCCUCACCCAGUGAUAGUAGGGGUAGCGAGGCACGUAUUUGUAUUAUUGCCAUAAGGGAUAAAACAACAAGGGUUAUUCAUAUUGAUUGGGUUUACUUUUUCUACAUCAUGACAUCUUGAUUAUAGCAUUACUCUAUUUUUCAUGAACGUAAUACCUAGAUAGGCAAGCAUAGAAGCACUUUUGAAGUGGAGUAAUGGUACUAGAUGCAGAAUCGUUUCGGUCUACUUGUCACAGACGUGAUGCCUAUAUACAUGAUCAUUGCCAUGAAUAACAUCGUAAUUAUGCUCUUUUCUAUCAAUUGCCCAACAAUAGUUUGUCUACCCACAGUAUGCUAUGUGUUCGAGAGAGAAACCAAAUAUACUUUAUUCCAACUUACUUACUUUAUUUACUUUUAUUUUUAUAUAUCUAUCACUAUCAAAAUUAAUCCUUGCAAGUAACGAGUUCAAGGGGAUUGACGAUCCUCUUGCCUGUGUUGGGUGCAAGUGUUUGCUUUUGUGUGUGUAGGUGUUGAGGACAAUAAUUUGCAUGCUUCUCCUAUUGGUUCGAUAACCUUGGUUCUCACUGAGGAAAAUACUUAUCCGCUACUAUAUUUCUUCACCCUUCCUCUUCGGGGAAAAUCCCAACGCACCUCACAAGUAGCAGAAAGAAUUUAUGGCGUCGUUGUUGGGGAGAAUCACCAAACAACUCGAGGUACCUACACACACACUAUCGUUUACUUGUUUUGAUGGGGAACGUUGCAUGGGAAACAAAAAAAGUCCUACGCACACGCAAUACCUAUCCAUGGUGAUGAUCAUCUACGAGAGGGGAGAGUGUAUCUACAUACCCUUGUAGAUCGCUAAGCGGAAGCGUAUAUAACACGGUUGAUGUAGUGGAACAUCUUCGCGAUCCAAAUCGCAGCCCGUCCCGCGAUAUCAUCACGAUCCGUCCCUCGAUCCCAUCACGAUCCAUCUCGAUCUAGUGUCGAACGUACGACACCUCCGCGUUCAGCACACAUACAGCUUGAUGACGAUCUCCGCUUUCUUGAUCCAGCAAGAGAGACGAAGAGGUAGCUGAAUUCUCCGGCAGCACGACGACGUGGCGAUGAUGGUGGUGGAGCUACUCCGGCAGGGCUUCGCCGUGCCGUACCGAACUAGCUACGGGGUGUCACGAAGUGGUGGAGGGAGAGAGGGUUGCACUAUGGCUUGGGUGCCAAAAGCCUCUCUCACCUCCACUAUAUAUAGGUGGGAGGGAGGGGUGGCGCCCUAGGGAAAACCCCCUAGGGUUGGCCGGUGCACCAAGCAAGGAGGAGGAGUCCCUUCCUAUUUCGGUUUGCCCCACCUCUUCCUUCCUUUCUCCUCCUUCGGCCGAACCAGGCCCAUUUGGGCUGGCCACCAGCCCACCACGGGCUGAUGUGACUGUUGGGGAACGUCGCAUGGGAAACAAAAUUUUUCCUACGCGCACGAAGACCUAUCAUGGUGAUGUCCAUCUACGAGAGGGGAUGAGUGAUCUACGUACCCUUGUAGAUCGUACAGCAGAAGCGUUAGUGAACGCGGUUGAUGUAGUGGAACGUCCUCACGUCCCUCGAUCCGCCCCGCGAACAAUCCCGCGAUCAGUCCCACGAUCUAGUACCGAACGGACGGCACCUCCGCGUUCAGCACACGUACAACUCGACGAUGAUCUCGGCCUUCUUGAUCCAGCAAGAGAGACGGAGAGGUAGAAGAGUUCUCCGGCAGCGUGACGACGCUCCGGAGGUUGGUGAUGACCUUGUCUCAGCAGGGCUCCGCCCGAGCUCCGCAGAAACGCGAUCUAGAGGAAAAACCGUGGAGGUAUGUGGUCGGGCUGCCGUGGAAAAGUCGUCUCAAAUCAGCCCUAAAACCUCCGUAUAUAUAGGUGGGAGGGAGGGGACCUUGCCUUGGGGCUCAAGGAGCCCCAAGGGGGUCGGCCGAGUCCAAGGGGGGAAGACCCCCCCCCCCAAACCGAGUUGGACUUGGUUUGGUGGGAGGGAGUCGUUCCCUUCCUUCCCACCUCCCUUUUUUUUAUUUCUCUUUGAUUUUUAUCUCUAUGGCGCAUAGGGCUCUUUUGGGCUGUCCCACCAGCCCACUAAGGGCUGGUGUGCCUCCCUCAAGGCCUAUGGGCUUCCCCGGGGUGGGUUGCCCCCCCGGUGAACUUCCGGAACCCAUUCGUCAUUCCCGGUACAUUCCCGGUUACUCCGAAAACCUUCCGGUAAUCAAAUGAGGUCAUCCUAUAUAUCAAUCUUCGUUUUCGGACCAUUCCGGAAACCCUCGUGACGUCCGUGAUCUCAUCCGGGACUCCGAACAACAUUCGGUAACCAACCAUAUAACUCUAAUACGCAUAAAACAACGUCGAACCUUAAGUGUGCAGACCCUGCGGGUUCGAGAACUAUGUAGACAUGACCCGAGAGACUCCUCGGUCAAUAUCCAAUAGCGGGACCUGGAUGCCCAUAUUGGAUCCUACAUAUUCUACGAAGAUUUUAUCGUUUGAACAUCAGUGCCAAGGAUUCAUAUAAUCCCGUAUGUCAUUCCCUUUGUCCUUCGGUAUGUUACUUGCCCGAGAUUCGAUCGUCAGUAUCCGCAUACCUAUUUCAAUCUCGUUUACCGGCAAGUCUCUUCUUUGAAUUACCCUUCUUGCCUUUGCCGUUUCUCUUGAAACUAGUGGUCUUAUUCACCAUCAACACUUGAUGCUCUUUACGGAGUUCAGACUCUGCGACUUUCAACAUCGCAAACAACUCGCCGGGUGACUUGUUCAUCCCUUGCAUGUUGUAGUUCAACACAAAGCCUUUGUAGCUUGGUGGCAGUGAUUGAAGGAUUCUGUCAGUGAUAGCCUCUUGCGGGAGUUCAAUCCCCUGCUCAGCUAGACGGUUUGAGUACCCAGACAUUUUGAGCACAUGUUCACUGACAGACGAGUUUUCCUCCAUCUUGCAAGCAUAGAAUUUAUCGGAGGUCUCAUACCUCUCGAUCCGGGCGUUCUUCUGAAAGAUAAACUUCAACUCCUGGAACAUCUCAAAUGCUCCAUGACGCUCAAAGCAACGUUGAAGUCCCGGUUCUAAGCCAUACAAAACUGCACAUUGAACUAUUGAGUAGUCCUCCUUACGUGCUAACAUCCUGAUCAGCCGUAGCGGGUGGUUCAUCUCCUAGCGCAGCAUUAAGGACAUAGUCCUUCUUCCCAGCUUGUAAGAUUAGCUUAAGAUUACGAGCCCAGUCUACAAAGUUGCUUCCAUCAUCUUUCAACUUAGCUUUCUCUAGGAACGUAUUAAAAUUCAGGAUGACUGUCGCGUGAGCCAUGAUCUACAACACAAAUAUAUUCAAAGUGGACUUAGACUAUGUUGAAGAUAAUUAGAGUUCAACUUAAUCAAAUUAUCUGCUAAACUCCCACUCAAAAAUUACAUCUCUCUAGUCAUUUGAGUGGUUCAUGAUCCACCUACACUAUCUCAAGUCCGAUCAUCACGUGAGUUGAGUAUAGUUUCAGUGGUAAGCAUCCCUAUGCUAAUCACAUCAUCUAUAUGAUUCAUGAUCGACCUUUCGGUCUCAUGUGUUCCGAGGCCAUGUCUGCACAUGCUAGGCUCGUCAAGCUUAACCCGAGUGUUCCGCGUGCGCAACUGUUUUGCACCCGUCGUAUGUGAACGUUGAGUCUAUCACACCGAUCAUCACGUGGUGUCUCGAAAUGACGAACUGUAGCAACGGUGCACAGUCGGGGAGAACACAAUUUCAUCUUGAAAUUUUAGUGAGAGAUCACCUCAUAAUGCUACCGUCGUUCUAAGAAAAAUAAGGUGCAUAAAAGGAUUAACAUCACAUGCAAUUCAUAAGUGACAUGAUAUGGCCAUCAUCACGUGCUUCUUGAUCUCCAUCACCAAAGCACCGGCACGAUCUUCUUGUCACCGGCGCCACACCAUGAUCAUCCAUCAACAUGUUGACAUCGGGGUUGUCGUGCUACUUAUGCUAUUACUACUAAAGCUACAUCCUAGCAAAAUAGUAAACGCAUCUGCAAGCACAAACGUUAGUAUAAAGACAACCCUAUGGCUCCUGCCGGUUGCCGUACCAUCGACGUGCAAGUCGAUAUUUCUAUUACAACAUGAUCAUCUCAUACAUCCAAUAUAUCACAUCACAUCAUUGGCCAUAUCACAUCACAAUCAUACCCUGACAAAAACAAGUUAGACVUACACCUAGUAUGUUGUUGCAUGUUUUACGUGGUGACCAAGGGUAUCUAGUAGGAUCGCAUCUUACUUACGCAAACACCACAACGGAGAUAUAUGAGUUGCUAUUUAACCUCAUCCAAGGACCUCCUCGGUCAAAUCCGAUUCAACUAAAGUUGGAGAAACCGACACUUGCCAGUCAUCUUUGAGCAACGGGGUUACUCGUAACGAUGAAACCAGUCUCUCGUAAGCGUACGAGUAAUGUCGGUCCAAGCCGCUUCAAUCCAACAAUACCGCGGAAUCAAGAAAAGACCAAGGAGGGCAGCAAAACGCACAUCACCGCCCACAAAAACUUUUGUGUUCUACUCGAGAAGACAUCUACGUAUGAACCUAGCUCAUGAUGCCACUGUUGGGGAACAUCGCAUGGGAAACAAAAUUUUUCCUACGCGCACGAAGACCUAUCAUGGUGAUGUCCAUCUACGAGAGGGGAUGAGUGAUCUACGUACCCUUGUAGAUCGUACAGCAGAAGCGUUAGUGAACGCGGUUGAUGUAGUGGAACGUCCUCACAUCCCUCGAUCCGCCCCGCGAACAAUCCCGCGAUCAGUCCCACGAUCUAGUACCGAACGGACGGCACCUCCGCGUUCAGCACACGUACAGCUCGACGAUGAUCUCGGCCUUCUUGGUCCAGCAAGAGAGACAGAGAGGUAGAAGAGUUCUCCGGCAGCGUGACGGCGCUCCGGAGGUUGGUGAUGACCUUGUCUCAGCAGGGCUCCGCCCGAGCUCCGCAGAAACGCGAUCUAGAGGAAAAACCGUGGAGGUAUGUGGUCGGGCUGCCGUGGAAAAGUCGUCUCAAAUCAGCCCUAAAACCUCCGUAUAUAUAGGUGGGAGGGAGGGGACCUUGCCUUGGGGCUCAAGGAGCCCCAAGGGGGUCGGCCGAGUCCAAGGGGGGAAGACUCCCCCCCGAAACCGAGUUGGACUUGGUUUGGUGGGAGGGAGUCCUUCCCUUCCUUCCCACCUCCCUUUUUUUUUCUUUCUCUUUGAUUUUUAUCUCUAUGGCGCAUAGGGCUCUUUUGGGCUGUCCCACCAGCCCACUAAGGGCUGGUGUGCCUCCCUCAAGGCCUAUGGGCUUCCCCGGGGUGGGUUGCCCCCCCGGUGAACUUCGGAACCCAUUCGUCAUUCCCGGUACAUUCCCGGUUACUCCGAAAACCUUCCAGUAAUCAAAUGAGGUCAUCCUAUAUAUCAAUCUUCGUUUCCGGACCAUUCCGGAAACCCUCGUGACGUCCGUGAUCUCAUCCGGGACUCCGAACAACAUUCGGUAACCAACCAUAUAACUCUAAUACGCAUAAAACAACGUCGAACCUUAAGUGUGUAGACCCUGCGGGUUCGAGAACUAUGUAGACAUGACCCAAGAGACUCCUCGGUCAAUAUCCAAUAGCGGGACCUGGAUGCCCAUAUUGGAUCCUACAUAUUCUACGAAGAUCUUAUCGUUUGAACCUCAGUGCCAAGGAUUCGUAUAAUCCCGUAUGUGAUUCCCUUUGUCCUUCGGUACGUUACUUGCCCGAGAUUCGAUCGUCAGUAUCCGCAUACCUAUUUCAAUCUCGUUUACCGACAAGUCUCUUUACUCGUUCCGUAAUACAAGAUCCCGCAACUUACACUAAGUUACAUUGCUUGCAAGGCUUGUGUGUGAUGUUGUAUUACCGAGUGGGCCCUGAGAUACCUCUCCGUCAUACGGAGUGACAAAUCCCAGUCUUGAUCCAUACUAACUCAACUAACACCUUUGGUGAUACCUGUAGAGCAUCUUUAUAGUCACCCAGUUACGUUGCGACGUUUGAUACACACAAAGCAUUCCUCCGGUGUCAGUGAGUUAUAUGAUCUCAUGGUCAUAGGAAUAAAUACUUGACACGCAGAAAACAGUAGCAACAAAAUGACACGAUCAACAUGCUACGUCUAUUAGUUUGGGUCUAGUCCAUCACGUGAUUCUCCCAAUGAUGUGAUCCAGUUAUCAAGCAACAACACCUUGUCCAUAAUCAGAAGACACUGACUAUCAUCGAUCAACUGGCUAGCCAACUAGAGGCAUGCUAGGGACGGUGUUUUGUCUACGUAUCCACACAUGUAAAUGAGUCUUCAUUCAAUACAAUUAUAGCAUGGAUAAUAAACUAUUAUCUUGAUACAGGAAUUAUAAUAAUAACUAUACAUUUAUUAUUGCCUCUAGGGCAUAAUUCUAACAGUCUCCCACUUGCACUAGAGUCAAUAAUCUAGCCCUCACAUCACCAUGUGAAUUACAUUGUAAUAAAUCUAACACCCAUACAGUUCUGGUGUCGAUCAUGUUUUGGCCGUGGAAGAGGUUUAGUCAGCGGGUCUGCUACAUUCGGAUCCGUGUGCACUUUGCAUAUAUUUACGUCGUCCUCCUCGACGUAGUUGCGGAUGAGGUUGAAGCAUCGUUUGAUGUGUCUGGUCUUCUUGUGAAACCUUGGCUCCUUUGCUAAGGCAAUGGCACCAGCGUUGUCACAGAACAAGGUUAUUGGAUCCAGUGCACUUGGCACCACUCCAAGAUCCGUCAUGAGCUGCUUCAUCCAGACACCCUCCUUAGCCGCCUCCGAGGCAGCCAUGUACUCCGCUUCACAUGUAGAAUCUGCUACCACGCUUUGCUUGGAACUGCACCAGCUUACUGCACCCCCAUUAAGAAUAAAUACGUAUCCGGUUUGCGACUUAGAGUCGUCCGGAUCUGUGUCAAAGCUUGCAUCGACGUAACCUUUUACGGCGAGCUCUUCGUCACCUCCAUACACGAGAAACAUCUCCUUAGUCCUUUUCAGGUACUUCGGGAUAUUCUUGACCGCUGUCCAGUGAUCCACUCCUGGAUUACUCUGGAACCUACCUGCCAUACUUAUGGCCAGGCUAACAUCCGGUCUAGUGCACAGCAUCGCAUACAUGAUAGAACCUAUGGCUGAAGCAUAGGGGACGGAGCGCAUAUGCUCUCUAUCUUCAUCAGUUGCUGGGCACUGAGUCUUACUCAAUCUCGUACCUUGUAACACUGGCAAGAACCCUUUCUUGGACUGUUCCAUUUUGAACCUCUUCAAAACUUUAUCAAGGUAUGUGCUUUGUGAAAGUCCUAUCAGGCGCUUUGAUCUAUCCCUAUAGAUCUUAAUGCCUAGAAUGUAAGCAGCUUCUCCUAGGUCCUUCAUAGAGAAACUUUUAUUCAAGUAACCUUUUAUGCUCUCCAAAAGCUCUACGUUGUUUCCAAUCAGUAAUAUGUCAUCCACAUAUAAUAUUAGAAACGCCACAGAGCUCCCACUCACUUUCUUGUAAAUACAAGAUUCUCCAACCACUUGUAUAAACCCAAAUGCUUUGAUCACCUCAUCAAAGCGUUUGUUCCAACUCCGAGAUGCUUGCACCAGUCCAUAAAUGGAUCGCUGGAGCUUGCACACCUUGUCAGCAUUUUUAGGAUCGACAAAACCUUCGGGUUGCAUCAUAUACAACUCUUCCUUAAGAAAACCAUUAAGGAACGCCGUUUUGACAUCCAUCUGCCAGAUUUCAUAAUCGAAAAAUGCAGCUAUUGCUAACAUGAUUCUGACGGACUUAAGCAUUGCCACGGGAGAGAAAGUCUCAUCGUAGUCAAUUCCUCGAACUUGUGAAAAAUCCUUUGCCACAAGUCGAGCUUUAUAAACGGUCACAUUACCGUCAACGUCCGUCUUCUUCUUAAAGAUCCAUUUGUUCUGAAUAGCCUUGCGGCCUUCAGGUAGUAUCUCCAAAGUCCACACUUUGUUCUCAUACAUGGAUCCUAUCUCAGAUUUCAUGGCUUCUAGCCAUUUGUUGGAAUCUGGGCCCACCAUUGCUUCUUCAUAAUUCGCAGGUUCAUUGUUGUCUAACAACAUGAUUGAUAAGACGGGAUUACCGUACCACUCUGGAGCAGUGCGUGAUCUCGUCGACCUGCGUGGUUCAACAGAAACUUGAACUGGAGUUUCAUGAUCAUCAUCAUUAACUUCCUCCUCAACCGGCGUCGCAAUGACAGAGGUUUCCCCUUGUCCUGCGCCACCAUCCAGAGGGAUGAGAGGUUCGACAACCUCGUCAAGUUCUAUCUUCCUCCCACUCAAUUCUCUCGAGAGAAACUCCUUCUCGAGAAAAGUUCCGUUCUUAGCAACAAACACUUUGCCCUCGGAUUUGAGAUAGAAGGUGUACCCAACUGUCUCCUUUGGGUAGCCUAUGAAGACGCAUUUUUCCGCUUUGGGUUCCAGCUUUUCAGGCUGAAGCUUUUUGACAUAAGCAUCACAUCCCCAAACUUUAAGAAACGACAACUUUGGCCUUUUGCCAUACCACAGUUCGUAUGGUGUCGUCUCAACGGAUUUUGAUGGUGCCCUAUUUAAAGUGAAUGCAGCUGUUUCUAAUGCAUAACCCCAAAAUGAUAACGGCAAAUCAGUAAGAGACAUCAUAGAUCGCACCAUCUCUAACAAAGUACGAUUACGACGUUCGGACACACCAUUACGCUGUGGUGUUCCAGGCGGUGUUAACUGCGAAACAAUUCCACAUUGUCUUAAGUGAGCACCAAACUCGAAACUCAGAUAUUCACCCCCACGGUCAGACCGUAGGAACUUGAUCUUCUUGUUAUGAUGAUUUUCCACUUCACUCUGAAAUUGCUUGAACUUUUCAAAUGUUUCAGACUUGUGCUUCAUCAAGUAGACAUAACCAUAUCUACUUAAAUCGUCAGUGAAGGUGAGGAAAUAACGAUAUCCGCCGCGUGCCUCCACGCUCAUUGGACCACACACAUCGGUAUGUAUGAUUUCCAACAAGUCACUUGCACGCUCCAUUGUUCCGGAGAACGGAGUCUUAGUCAUCUUGCCCAUGAGGCAUGGUUCGCACGUGUCAAGUGAAUCAAAGUCAAGUGACUCCAAAAGUCCAUCAGCAUGGAGUUUCUUCAUGCGCUUUACACCAAUAUGACCCAAGCGGCAGUGCCACAAAAAUAUGGCGCUAUCAUUGUUUACUCUAACUCUUUUGGUCUCAAUGUUAUGCAUAUGCGUAUCGCUAUCAAGAUUCAAUAUGAACAAUCCUCUCACAUUCGGUGCAUGACCAUAAAAGAUGUUACUCAUAGAAAUAGAACAACCAAUAUUCUCAGACAUAAAAGAGUAACCGUCUCGCAAUAAACAAGAUCCAGAUAUAAUGUUCAUGCUCAACGCAGGCACUAAAUAACAAUGAUUUAAGUUCAUCACUAAUCCCGAUGGUAGUUGAAGUGACACUGUGCCGACGGCGAUUGCAUCAACCUUGGAACCAUUUCCUACGCGCAUCGUCACUUCGUCUUUCGCCAGCUUUCGUCUAUUCCGCAGUUCCUGUUUCGAGUUGCAAAUGUGAGCAACAGAACCGGUAUCGAAUACCCAGGCACUACUACGAGAGCCGGUUAAGUACACAUCAAUAACAUGUAUAUCAAAUAUACCUGAUUUUUCUUUGCCCGCCUUCUUAUCUGCCAGAUACUUGGGGCAAUUGCGCUUCCAGUGACCCAUACCCUUGCAAUAGAAGCACUCUGUUUCAGGCUUAGGUCCAGCCUUGGGUUUCUUCGGCGGAUUGGCAACAGGUUUGCCGCUCUUCUUCGAAUUGCCCUUCUUGCCUUUGCCGUUUCUCUUGAAACUAGUGGUCUUGCUCACCAUCAACACUUGAUGCUCUUUACGGAGUUCAGACUCUGCGACUUUCAGCAUCGCAAACAACUCGCCGGGAGACUUGUUCAUCCCUUGCAUGUUGUAGUUCAACACAAAGCCUUUAUAGCUUGGCGGCAGUGAUUGAAGGAUUCUGUCAGUGAUAGCCUCUUGCGGGAGUUCAAUCCCCAGCUCAGCCAGACGGUUUGAGUACCCAGACAUUUUGAGCACAUGUUCACUGACAGACGAGUUUUCCUCCAUCUUGCAAGCAUAGAAUUUAUCGGAGGUCUCAUACCUCUCGAUCCAGGCGUUCUUCUGAAAGAUAAACUUCAACACCUGGAACAUCUCAAAUGCUCCAUGACGCUCAAAGCGACGUUGAAGUCCCGGUUCUAAGCCAUACAAGACUGCACAUUGAACUAUUGAGUAGUCCUCCUUACGCGCUAACCAAGCGUUCUUAACAUCCUGAUCAGCCGUAGCGGGUGGUUCAUCUCCUAGCGCAGCAUCAAGGACAUAAUCCUUCUUCCCAGCUUGUAAGAUUAGCUUAAGAUUACGAGCCCAGUCUACAAAGUUGCUUCCAUCAUCUUUCAACUUAGCUUUCUCUAGGAACGUAUUAAAAUUCAGGAUGACACUUGCGUCAGCCAUGAUCUACAACACAAAUAUAUUCAAAGUGGACUUAGACUAUGUUCAAGAUAAUAAGAGUUUAACUUAAUCAAAUUAUAUGCUAAACUCCCACUCAAAAAGUACAUCUCUCUAGUCAUUUGAGUGGUUCAUGAUCCACUUACACUAUCCCAAGUCCGGUCAUCACGUGAGUUGAGUAUAGUUUCAGUGGUAAGCAUCCCUAUGCUAAUCAUAUCAACUAUAUGAUUCAUGAUCGACCUUUCGGUCUCAUGUGUUCCGAGGCCAUGUCUGCACAUGCUAGGCUCGUCAAGCUUAACCCGAGUGUUCCGCGUGCGCAACUGUUUUGCACCCGUUGUAUGUGAACGUUGAGUCUAUCACACCCGAUCAUCACGUGGUGUCUCGAAACGACGAACUGUAGCAACGGUGCACAGUCGGGGAGAACACAAUUUCGUCUUGAAAUUUUAGUGAGAGAUCACCUCAUAAUGCUACCGUCGUUCUAAGCAAAAUAAGGUGCAUAAAAGGAUUAACAUCACAUGCAAUUCAUAAGUGACAUGAUAUGGCCAUCAUCACGUGCUUCUUGAUCUCCAUCACCAAAGCACCGGCACGAUCUUCUUGUCACCGGCGCCACACCAUGAUCAUCCAUCAACAUGUUGACAUCGGGGUUGUCGUGCUACUUAUGCUAUUACUACUAAAGCUACAUCCUAGCAAAAUAGUAAACGCAUCUGCAAGCACAAACGUUAGUAUAAAGACAACCCUAUGGCUCCUGCCGGUUGCCGUACCAUCGACGUGCAAGUCGAUAUUUCUAUUACAACAUGAUCAUCUCAUACAUCCAAUAUAUCACAUCACAUCAUUGGCCAUAUCACAUCACAAUCAUACCCUGCAAAAACAAGUUAGACGUCCUCCAAUUUUGUUGUUGCAUGUUUUACGUGGUGACCAAGGGUAUCUAGUAGGAUCGCAUCUUACUUACGCAAACACCACAACGGAGAUAUAUGAGUUGCUAUUUAACCUCAUCCAAGGACCUCCUCGGUCAAAUCCGAUUCAACUAAAGUUGGAGAAACCGUCACUUGCCAGUCAUCUUUGAGCAAAGGGGGUUACUCGUAACGAUGAAACCAGUCUCUCGUAAGCGUACGAGUAAUGUCGGUCCAAGCCGCUUCAAUCCAACAAUACCGCGGAAUCAAGAAAAGACUAAGGAGGGCAGCAAAACGCACAUCACCGCCCACAAAAACUUUUGUGUUCUACUCGAGAAGACAUCUACGCAUGAACCUAGCUCAUGGUGCCACUGUUGGGGAACGUCGCGUGGGAAACAAAAAAUUUCCUACGCGCACGAAGACCUAUCAUGGUGAUGUCCAUCUAUGAGAGGGGAUGAGUGAUCUACGUACCCUUGUAGAUCGUACAGCAGAAGCGUUAGAGAACGCGAUUGAUGUAGUGGAACGUCCUCACGUCCCUCGAUCCGCCCCGCGAACAAUCCCGCGAUCAGUCCCACGAUCUAGUACCGAACGGACGGCACCUCCGCAUUCAGCACACGUACAGCUCGACGAUGAUCUCGGCCUUCUUGAUCCAGCAAGAGAGACGGAGAGGUAGAAGAGUUCUCCGGCAGCGUGACGGCGCUCCGGAGGUUGGUGAUGAUCUUGUCUCAGCAGGGCUCCGCCCGAGCUCCGCAGAAACGCGAUCUAGAGGAAAAACUAUGGAGGUAUGUGGUCGGGCAGCCGUGAGAAAGUCGUCUCAAAUCAGCCCUAAUUGCUCCAUAUAUAUAGGAGGAGGGAGGGGGGGCCUUGCCUUGGGGGUCCAAGGACCCCCAAGGAGUCGGCCGAGCCAAGGGGGGGAGGACUCCCCCCCCCCAAACCGAGUUGGACUUGGUUUGGUGGGAGGAGUCCCCCUCCCUUCCCACUUCCUCCCUCUUUUUUUUCUCUUUUCCUUUGAUUUCUUAUUCUUGGCGCAUAGGCCCCCUUGGGGCUGUCCCACCAGCCCACUAAGGGCUGGUGUGUCUCCCCAAAGCCUAUGGGCUUCCCCAGGGUGGGUUGCCCCCCCCCCCCGGUGAACUCCCGGAACCCAUUCGUCAUUCCCGGUACAUUCCCGGUAACUCCGAAAACCUUCCGGUAAUCAAAUGAGGUCAUCCUAUAUAUCAAUCUUCGUUUCCGGACCAUUCCGGAAACCCUCGUGACGUCCGUGAUCUCAUCCGGGACUCCGAACAACAUUCGGUAACCAACCAUAUAACUCAAAUACGCAUAAAACAACGUCGAACCUUAAGUGUGCAGACCCUGCGGGUUCGAGAACUAUGUAGACAUGACCCGAGAGACUCCUCGGUCAAUAUCCAACAGCGGGACCUGGAUGCCCAUAUUGGAUCCUACAUAUUCUACGAAGAUCUUAUCGUUUGAACCUCAGUGCCAAGGAUUCGUAUAAUCCCGUAUGUGAUUCCCUUUGUCCUUCGGUACGUUACUUGCCCGAGAUUCGAUCGUCAGUAUCCGCAUACCUAUUUCAAUCUCGUUUACCGACAAGUCUCUUUACUCGUUCCGUAAUACAAGAUCCCGCAACUUACACUAAGUUACAUUGCUUGCAAGGCUUGUGUGUGAUGUUGUAUUACCGAGUGGGCCCUGAGAUACCUCUCCGUCAUACGGAGUGACAAAUCCCAGUCUUGAUCCAUACUAACUCAACUAACACCUUUGGUGAUACCUGUAGAGCAUCUUUAUAGUCACCCAGUUACGUUGCGACGUUUGAUACACACAAAGCAUUCCUCCGGUGUCAGUGAGUUAUAUGAUCUCAUGGUCAUAGGAAUAAAUACUUGACACGCAGAAAACAGUAGCAACAAAAUGACACGAUCAACAUGCUACGUCUAUUAGUUUGGGUCUAGUCCAUCACGUGAUUCUCCUAAUGACAUGAUCCAGUUAGCAAGAAACAACAUCUUGUUCAUAAUCAGAAGGCACUGACUAUCUUUGAUCAACCAGCUAGCCAACUAGAGGCUUGCUAGGGACGGUGUUUUGUCUAUGUAUCCACACAUGUAAAUGAGUCUUCAUUCAAUUAAAUUAUAGCAUGGAUAAUAAACGAUUACCUUGAUACAGGAAUUAUAAUAAUAACUAUAUUUAUUAUUGCCUCUAGGGCAUAAUUCCAACAGUGACACCCUUCGGCCUCUUUAGUUCUCUCCCGGGUGAGUGACCCCUUGAUACGUCUCCAUCGUAUCUACUUUUCCAAACUCUUUUGCCCUUGUUUUGGACUCUAAUUUGCAUGAUUUGAAUGGAACUAACCUGGACUGACGCUGUUUUCAGCAGAAUUGCCUUGGUGUUAUUUUUGUGCAGAAAUCAAAGUUCUCCAACGUCCUGAAAAUCUACGGGGAGUAGUUUUGGAAAAUAUAAAAAAUAUCUGCGCCAAGUUCCACCUGAGGGGGUGGGCCAGUGGGCCACAAGCCCUGGCUCCGCCACCACCCCCCUGGUGGAGGUGGGCAGGCUUGUGGGGCCCUCACGGCUCUGCCGCCCCCAACCUCAGGUCUAUAAGUUCACUUUCGUCCCAGAAAAAAUAAAAAGAGAGGUUUUCGUCGCGUUUGCGAUACGGAGGCGCCGCCACCACCUGUUCUUCAUCUGGAGGGCAGAUCUGGAGUCCGUCUUGGGCUCCGGAGAGGGGAAAUCGUCGCCAUCGUCAUCAUCAACCUUCUUCCCUCUCCAAUUCCACGAAGCUCUUCAUCGUUCGUGAGUAAUCUAUUCGUAGGCUCGCUGGGCGGUGAUGAGUAGGAUGAUAUCUAUCAUGUAAUCGAGUUAGUUUUGAUGGGGAUUGAUCCCUAGUAUCCACUAUGUUUUGAGGUUGAUGUUGCUACUACUUUGCCAUGCUUAAUGCUUGUCACUAGGGCCCGAGUGCCAUGAUUUCAGAUCUGAAAUUAUUAUGUUGUCACCAAUAUAUGUGUGUUUUAGAUCCGAUCUUGGAAGUUGUAGUUACCUACUAUGUGUUAUGAUCCGGCAACCCCGGAGUGACAAUAACCGGAACCACUCCCGGUGAUGACCAUAGUUUGAGGAGUUCAUGUGUUCACCAAGUGCUAAUGCAUUGGUCCGGUUCUUUAUUAAAAGGAGAACCUUAAUGUCCCGUAGUUUCCUUUUGGACCCCGCUGCCACGGGAGGGAUGGACAAUAGAUGCAAUGCAAGUUCUUUUCCCUAAGCACGUAUGACGACACACGGAAUGCAUGCCUACAUCACAUUGACGAACGAGAGCUAGCCACAUAUCUCUCCGUGUGUAGUGCCCCAAGUGUAAAGCUUUCCCUUUUUGUAACCUUCCAUGUGGGACCACCUUGACAUUGUCAUGAGAGCUAUCUAUGCAUGUAUGAAUUCAUGUGUUCACCUUGUAUUUCUUCUUUUGCAUGCAUGCAUCCAUGCCAUACCAUUCUUACCAUGCCUUGUUUUGCUUGCAUCUAUACCUUGCCAUGUCAUAGAGUGGAGACUUGUGAUUUCAUGUGUUGAUGCACAUGUGAUGAUGGUGUGUGGAGUGUAAGAGUGGUUGCUAGGUAUUUUCAAAGUUCCUUGCAAUUCAAACCCUUUUUCUUCCUUUUACCUCAUGUUCAAAAUUACAUCUUCCCAAAAGCUGUUCUAAAAUGUCUUGUGAUUAGGGUUUAUUGUGGGAAUGAUGAUGUGUGUAUUUGCUGUAUUGUAUCUUGAUUUCAAGGGUGCAAAUAAACCCAAAACAGUAAAUUAAUUACUGUUUUGCAUUUAUUCCAAAUUGCUCCAAAUAUUGUUUUUCUAUUUUAUUCAAAUAGGCCAUAAUUCCUUAUGGCCACGGGCAUUUUUGCUUUGAUUUUAACCCCAACAGAACUGCCAGUGGAUUUAAGUCCUAGCUGUGUUUAUUUAAAGAAAGUUCAAAACCCUCUCAGCCCCUCUCCUCUAACUGACGCCGGUGGCAAGCAAACCAGCGCGGCCCAGCCCACUCCUUCCCAGCUCACACACGCGGGCGUCGUCCUCCUCCCCUUUCCAGCGAGGCAGGCGGCCCCACAAGUUAGCCUCUCACCUCGCUCCUCUCUGCUUUCCACCGAAGCUCCCCGCACGCACAUGGCAGCGCCGCGAUCCUCACCUCUCCUUCCCUCUAUUUAACCCCCCUUGGCGUCUGUGCAUCCGUGUUAGGGUUCCUCCCCGCCGCCGCAACGCCCAGAUCCCGAUCCACCUCUCUCUCUCUCGCCGCAACAAGUGAGGACCGCACGGGAUCGCCAUGGCCGACGGGUAGCAGCUCGCCGUCGCCAUCGAUCUACUUCCCCUGCUUCCUCUACGACGACGCCAACAGCUCGAGGGUGCCUCCAGGAGCCCGUUCCCGGCGCAAGACCGACCUCCCCCGCGCUACGUCCACUGCCUCCCGGCGGCGCGUCCCCUCCGACGAGAAGCCUCCCCGACGGUCUUCCUCCUCUACUUCCUCUACGAGCCGAUCCUCUCCUUGACUCGUACACGAGGUAGCGCUUCUCCUCCCUCCUCCCUGUCCCAGAUCGGGUGCGGUAACCGUAGGUUGUCACGCGCUUGCUCUCUGUCGCCGGCACCGCCGCUCGCCGUCGCUGUGCCGUAGUAGGGCCGCUCGGGUGCAGCUAGCACAUGAAAUGGACCCGUGCGUGUGUGGGCUUACUCCCCCCCACGGGCCGUUGCUCGAUUUGUACCACGUCGCUGGCGAGGGCCUUCCCCUAUUUCGGUUCGUCGCCGACAGUAGAUCAGCAGAGGGAUGCUCCUUCAGAUGUUUUGUAGCGUGUAUUAUUUCAGACUCCGUAGCGUAGCCAAGUGGUUUGAUCCCUGUUGUGCCUGAUGCAGGUGCUGGGUUCGAUCCCUCCCCGCGGCACCUUUUUGUUUCUCGAAUUAUCAGCACAGUUUACUGCAGGGAUGGCCUCACCUUGCUUGAACCCUCUGUUUUGUCGAAUAGUUGACAGUAGCAGAGUGGUAGAGGGUAGUUUGUGGCAUCAGAGGGUACUGGGUUCGAAUCCCAGGUGCCCCUGUUGUAUUUUUACCAUUCCUUUUAUUUCUUUUGCUUGUCCUACCAUAUUUGUGCCUAACCCAUAGGCAUUAAAGUGGACCAGAGGCAGGAUCUUUGGUUGUGUGUGUGUGUGCACACACUUGUGAUAGUGCAAGUGAUGUGUGUAUGUGUUUAUGUGGCUUAGUUGAAAAGUGGCUCAUGUGAUCUUGCUAGUGUGUUUGGGUGUGUAGUACUUGCAAAGUAUGUGCAUUGUGGAAUAGGUGAGAUGUGUGUGUUGAGGUGAUGUGUGUGUAAGUAGGGUACACAUAUGUGGUACCUAGCAGGAGUGUAUGUAUGUGUGGAUCCAUGUUUACUUGCAUAGCAGUUGUUCCUUCAUGUUGUGCUUGAGAUUAAGUGCUUGUGAUGAGGGUAUUGUGAUGAUAUGUGUGUGGUGAUAACAGCCCCAUUUUCAACACUUGUGCACCUCCUCAUGUUCAUAUGAGAGAGGACAUGAUGUGUGUGUGUGUGAGGGUGAUCUAGUGAAAGUUGUGCUAGUGGUGUUGAUAUGCAUAACACAUACAUGGGGUUCAAACCCCCAUGUCACUUUUUCAUUGUGCACAUGAGCUCAACCUUUGUAGUUGUUGACUUAGUAGGAACUACAUGAAAUGAUGCCCAUUCCCUAGGCAUGAUUUGGAGUAGUUUCCUCUCCCUUAUUUUGUGGUCACUUGUUCCAAGUAAGUGCCCACAUAUUAUAUAUGAUUUUGGGGUAGAAUCUCCCAAGGAAUCCAGUGGUGAAGUUAGUUUUUCCAUUACGAUACUUUAUGGAGUUGACAUAUUCAGAUUUGUUGCAAGUUUGAUCUUUGAUUCCAUGGAAUAGGUGGAGCCCAAGGGCAUGAGUUUUUGUGUGAUAGUAGUAGGGGUUUUGCUCUACACCAUAGUGGUUUCAUAUAUCACUUGGUGUUACUUGUGUGCAAACUAUGCCUAGACAAAGUGGGCAUGUGGUUGAAAAUUCCAGUUUAGUGAAAUCUGGAAUUUCACUAAGUCUGGGAUUCUGGAAACAUUUUCUUCUCUUAUAGAUGAGGAUGUGCUGGUCAUUGUGUUGAGAUAUAGCCUUAGUUCAGUGCUAGGAUUUUGGACCUGAUAUGUUUGUGAUGCUUCCUGUCAAAUUUCAAAUCAUUUCGAGUCCAGUAGGUUGUGUUUUGAUUGCUGUCAAAAAGCUUCAGAACAAAGACAGAAAUUCAGGUGCAGGAAUUUUCACCAAGUCCCUGAGAUCUGAUGGUUUUGGGGAAGUUUGUGGCCUUGUAUAUUAAUUCCUUUUGCUGUGAUUCUUGCUGGUGCUUGUAGGGUUCUUAGUGGGCUACAGCCACAUAUAUUAUUUGACAUAUUUGGUGGCCUGUAGCUAUGUUGCAUGUAGCUCACAAAGUGCUAAUAUGCAGUUUAUGGCAGAUUAUGUAGUUUUGUCAUUUUGAUGAUUGUGUGUGCUUAGUGGAUGUGGUGGUGCUCUUCCUUGCUCCAAUCCAUUCAUGUGGGAGUGGUACAUGUCUUGGCAACCUGGGAAUACCAGAUUUGUGCCAAUUGUGAGUGUGGUGUUGAUUCUUACACGUAGAGCUUCAUAUCUUGUUUCGUUGAUUCCCGUUGAACCGUAGCUCCGUUCGCAAUGUUCUUUAUAUGUUUUUGCAUAGUUUUCACGAGACGCAUCUCUUCAUGCCAUUCUCAUGCAUGUAAAAAUAUCCUAGUUUACAGUUCUGUCCAGAAACUUAUAGUAGUUCUUUUGCUUGUGCUAGUGAUAGAAAUAGUGAUGCAUGCUCAUUUUUCAUCUCAUGCAUCAUGUGAUUGUUGCAUCUUGUGGUGCUGCUGUUCAUUGGCUGUUAUUCUUAUGUUGGGUAGCACCGGGAUCGGAGAACGAAUACGUGGAGUCAGGAGAGUACGUGCAGGACGAUCCAGGACCAUUCCAAGCUGAGGAUAUCACAUGCAAGAUGAUAUGACCUUGAUUCCAUCUCUAGACUUGUUAUGCUAGUUUCGUUUACUUGUCAUAUUGCUUGCUGCCUACCACUGAAAUUAAAUUGCCUCUUCAUAUGCCAUGAGCCCAAACACUGUUCCCCUUCCUAGCAAAACUUGUAUGGCUAAGUAGGCUUUGCUCAGCUACUAAUGUUAGCGUUGCUAGAUGCAGGUCCUUUGACUCAUUUGAUAACAUGAGCUUUGAUAUACUUAUCUUAAAUUCUGUUAAUUAAUGAAUGCACCUAUAUACUUGGUAAAUGACGGGAGGCCUAGCCUUUUGCCGGGUGCUUUGUUCCGUUAUUGCCGCCUUAGUUACCGGUUACCGGUGUUUGAUUCCAUAAUGAUCGCUCCUAACACGUUCGGGGUUGUUAUGGGGACCCCCUUGAUAAAUCGCCUAGUGCUACGGCUUGUCCGGCAGGACCCAACAUUGGUUUUAAUCUGCUAAUCACACAAUAAUCCACAUAGGGAAUAGCUACCCCGAGGAAUUUAAUCAACAACCUGGGCUAGUGCUCCUCACGAGUGUUGGCCCCACCUGAGCGAUGUCCGGGGCCCCACUGGUCACCCAGAGGUUUAGCCAUCCCGACGUCUAGCUCAUCCUCGUGUCCUGAGACUGAGAUACGUGGCUCUUAUCAGGGUCGUCGACACGAUGGGAGGUCCUGCUAGCCUUGUCUUACCUUAGCGGUAUAUCUUGCGUAUAGGAAUCCGAGUGAAGCUUUGGUUUCCCCCAGAGUUGAGGUUUUCCUCUAAGGAAUCCGACAAGAUCAUGAGAUUCGUGAUAGAGGAUGCCUUUGCGGCAUGUGUUUGUUUAUGAUGGACUAGUUGGAGCACCCCUACAGGGUUUAAUCUUUCGGAAAGCCGUGCCCGCGGUUAUGUGGCAACUUGGAAUAUUUUGUUAACAUCCGGUAUUAGAGAACUUGAACAUAAGCUAAUAAAAUUGCCAACUGUGUGCAUACCCGUGACAGUCCCCUCGAAGAUCCCUCUUCGAUCGGGAACACGGUGGGGUUAUGAAUGCCGUAGGUAGGUGGUCAGGAUCACUUAGUGAUCAAGUAUUCCCGACCGCUAGUGUAGACCACCUUCACAAUUACUUCGCGUAAGUUAGCCACUUAAUCAAGCUUAGGAUGCUGCAGCCUUAUACACUUCACCCUUACCCUACCUAAUAACAUGACUAGUUCUGGCACCAAGGUCUUAGAUUGCUGAGUCCCCGUGGCUCACGGAUUCCUCCGAAACUCCCAGCAGGUACAGGUACCCCAGAUAUAGAUGAUCCCGACGGCACCCAGCUGGCGUGGCAGUACGACGAGGAGACAGACCGCCUCUACGUGACCUAUCCAGGGGACUGAGGCGUGGUCGUGAUCGUGGGCCUGCAGGCAGGGUAGCAUAGCAUUUCCAUGUUUUGUAGUCCGUAGCGGAACUACCUUGAUUGUAUCUGUGAUGUACUCUGAGUUAUUAAUAAGAAGACAGUUGAAUCCCGAAUUGUCUACUUUUAUUGUUAUUUGUGCUAUGUUACUUGCUUGCGAAAUGCUUAGAUGCGUUUCUUUCCUAUUCGGGGGCCUCGACCCCCAGAUCGGAAAGGACCGCAUCUUGGUCGUUACAAGUUGGUAUCAAAGCCUUACGACCAUAGGAGCUUUUGUGUGAUCGUACUUGGCCAAGUUGAGUCUAGAAAAUGUUUUGAGUCUUAGUUAUAUCGGAGAGUAGGAUCUUUUUUCUCCUCUUCUAUGCUCUGGUGAGGUUCCCGUCUUAGGAAAUCUUUAACUCUACUCCUUUUCUCGCUCAAAUUUUUUUUUAGGAUCACGCGGGUAUUUGUGAAAUCUAUAUGAUUUUGAUGUGACGGAAUCCUGUCCUGGUGCCUCCUAUCUGCUCUAAGUGUCAGGGGAGUUGAGCUCCAGGGAUUCUUGCGCACAUUGCCAUCAUUCAGAUUUCUGAGUAUCUAAGAAGAGAGGGUGUUCGUUAUUGCUUCAAUACGGGUAGUGGUGAGAUAACCCCGAUGUCCCCAGUACCGGUGUAGAUUGUUCGGGGGUAUUACCACACUUUGUAUCGUUGUGAUCACGAGGAUCUAUUGUAGAUGAAGGUCCGAGAUGCUGGUUGUGUGUUGAAGGAUGUGAUACAGGUGACGAGUUAGUUUAGGAGUUGUGUGAAAUACUCCUUGUAUCCGUGUACCUGAUUGCAUGACCAGUUAUUUCGAGAAUUCAUAGGUGGGAUAUCUAGUAGUAUCUUAUAGGACUAUCUUCCUACAGACGCUUGAUUGAUGUUUGGGAAAUCUCAGUCAUAUGUUUGUUCCGAGCAGUUCUAGCUCACACUUGUUUGAAGUGGUCCUUAUCGGAAUUUUGUCGUCUGUUACUUUGAGGAUGCACUCUUGCUAUGUUGUUCGAGUGCAAUGCUAAAUUCUGUUCAGAUAUUCCUGUCUUUUGAUUUAGCAAUAUCUUCAAUUAUUCUGUGGACUAAUAUGCUGUCCGUCUUCAGGAUGGCUCCACCGACUCGUCAGACCCCAGGGCGUGAGGAUAUGUCGCCUCCACCUCCUCAUCCUCCUCCUCCGCCGCCUCCUCCUGCAGAGGCCUGGUAGGCGAUGAUGGCAGCUACUAAUGCAAACACUCAGAUGCUGUUGCAGUUGAUCCAGGAGAGAGCCAAUCAUCAGCAGGGCAAUUUUCAGCAGGGUGGCAAUCACUUCGCCAAUCUGAGUCAGUUCCUGUCAAACCAGCCUAAGACGUUCACUUCUUGCGACCAGCCGUUUGAUGCAGAAGAUUGGAUCCGUGAUAUGAACAAGCAUUUCGAGUGUAGCAAUGUGCGUCCGGAGGACUAUGUCAAGUUUGCUACGUUUUAGUUGAAGGGGCAGGCUUCUAUUUGGUGGCAGCAGCUUAAGGACUCUAGAGGUGACAUGGUGAUGUCUUGGGACGAGUUUUGUCGUGACUUCAGAUCCCACUACACCCCUUCCAGUUUUGUUGAGGAGAUGCGUGAGAAGUUCAGGCGUUUGAAGCAGGGCAGCAAUUCUAUGUACAAGUACAAUGUCGAGUUCCACGAGCUGGCCCGUUACGCGCUGCAGGAUGUCCCGGAUCAGAAGAGCAAGAUCUACCAGUUCAGGGGUGGUUUAAAGGAGGAUUUGCAGUUAGCGCUUGCUUUGCACGAUCCAGAGGAGUUUGACAAGUUCUACAACUUAGCUCUCCGAGCAGAGGCAGCCUUGCUCAGGGUGGAAACCUCAAAGAAACGCUUCAGAGAUUCCAGCUCUUCCUCGACUCAGGUGGUUCAGAAGCAACAGAGGUUUUGGGUUUCUCCUCCUCCUCGGCACUCACAGCAGCUGAAGCACUCAGGUGGACGUGGUUCUUCCUGUUGGAACUAUGCCCUAGAGGCAAUAAUAAAUUAGUUAUUAUUAUAUUUCUUUGUUCAUGAUAAUCGUUUAUUAUCCAUGCUAUAAUUGUAUCGAUUGGAAACACAAUACUUGUGUGGAUACAUAGACAAAACACUGUCCCUAGUAAGCCUCUAGUUGACUAGCUCGUUGAUCAAAGAUGGCCAAGGUUUCCUGGCCAUAGGCAAGUGUUGUUACUUGAUAACGGGAUCACAUCAUUAGGAGAAUCAUGUGAUGGACUGGACCCAAACUAAUAGACGUAGCAUGUUGAUCGUGUCAUUUUGUUGCUACUGUUUUCUGCGUGUCAAGUAUUCGUUCCUAUGACCAUGAGAUCAUAUAACUCACUGACACCGGAGGAAUGCUUUGUGUGUAUCAAACGUCGCAAUGUAACUGGGUGACUAUAAAGAUGCUCUACAGGUAUCUCCGAAGGUGUUAGUUGAGUUAGUAUGGAUCGAGACUGGGAUUUGUCACUCCGUGUGACGGAGAGGUAUCUCGGGGCCCACUCGGUAAUACAACAUCAUACACAAGCCUUGCAAGUAAUGUGACUUAGUGUAAGUUGCGGAUCUUGUAUUACGGAACGAGUAAAGAGACUUGCCGGCAAAUGAGAUUGAAAUAGGUAUGCGGAUACUGAUGAUCGAAUCUCGGGCAAGUAACAUACCGAAGGACAAAGGGAAUGACAUACGGGAUUAUAUGAAUCCUUGGCACUAAGGUUCAAACGAUAAGAUCUUCGUAGAAUAUGUAGGAUCCAAUAUGGGCAUCCAGGUCCCGCUAUUGGAUAUUGACCGAGGAGUCUCUCGGGUGAUGUCUACAUAGUUCCUGAACCCGUAGGGUCUGCACACUUAAGGUUCGACAUUGUUUUAUGCGUAUUUGAGUUAUAUGGUUGGUUACCGAAUGUUGUUCGGAGUCCCGGAUGAGAUCACGGAUGUCACGAGGGUUUUCGGAAUGGUCCGGAAACGAAGAUUGAUAUAUAGGAUGACCUCAUUUGAUUACCGGAAGGUUUUCGGAGUUACCGGGAAUGUACCGGGAAUGACGAAUGGGUUCCGGGUGUUCACCGGGGGGGGGGGGCAACCCACCCCGGGGAAGCCCAUAGGCCUUGGGGGUGGCGCACCAGCCCUUAGUGGGCUGGUGGGACAGCCCAAGAAGGCCCUAUGCGCCAUAGGAAGAAAAUCAAAGAGAAAAGAAAAAAAAAGAGCAGGUGGGAAAAGGGGGAAGGACUCCUCCUUCCAAACCUAGUUGGACUCGGUUUGGAAGGGGAGGGUUGCCCCCCUUGGCUCGGCCGACCCCCUUGGGAGUCCUUGGACCCCAAGGCAAGGCUCCCCCUCCUCCCCCUAUAUAUACGCAGGUUUUAGGGCUGAUUUGAGACAACUUUGCCACGACAGCCCGACCACAUAUCUCCACGGUUUCACCUCUAGAUCGCGUUUCUGCGGAGCUCGGGCGGAGCCCUGUGAGAUAAGAUCACCACCAACCUCCGUAGCUCCGUCACGCUGGCGGAGAACUCAUCUACCUCUCCAUCACUCUUGCUGGAUCAAGAAGGCCGAGAUCAUCGUCGAGCUGUACGUGUGCUGAACGCGGAGGUGCCGUCCGUUCGGCACUAGAUCGUGGGACUGAUCGCGGGACGGUUCGCGGGGCGGAUCGAGGGACAUGAGGACGUUCCACUACAUCAACUGUGUUCACUAAUGCUUCUGCUGUGCGGUCUACAAGGGUACCUAGAUCGAACAUCCCCUCUCGUAGAUGGACAUCACCAUGAUAGGUCUUCGUGCGCGUAGGAAAUUUUUUGUUUCCCAUGCGACGUUCCCCAACAGUUCCCACCCACCCAACCCUGGCUUCCAGCAGAGAUACCAGCAUUAGAAGCAAGGGACUCCUCAGUCUCAGUUCCAGCAGCCAGUAGAUGUCACUUGUCACUAAUGUGGGCAGAAGGGUCACUAUGCCAACAAAUGCACUUCUCAGCUCCGUCUGCCUCCUCCUCCUCUAGGCAAACUUCCAAGCAACGCUCUUGUCAAAUUCAACCCCAGAUCAUCUCGAGUCAACAUGGUGAAUGCAGUUGAAGCAGACAACUCCUCUGAUGUGAUCAUGGGUAACCUCCUCGUCAAUGAUAUUACUGCUAAAGUGUUAUUUGAUUCUGGUGCUUCGCAUUCGUUCCUCUCGAUUCCAUUUGCAUCCAAGCAUAAUGUUCUUGUUGAAGAGCUUCCUAGUCCUUUGGCAGUAGUUUCACCAGGCAAGUUCAUGCAUGCUAGUACUCGUGCUCCCGUUGUUUCUAUCAAGAUGGGCAAUUAUUCUUUUCUGGCCUCUCCGUAUGUCUUGGGCAAGUCCGACAUCGACUUGAUUCUUGGUAUGGACUGGUUGGCCAUGAACAAGGCAUCAAUUGAUUGUGAAGCUAAAGAAGUCAAGCUUACUCACUCUUUGGAGGAUGUGAUUAUAUUCGCGGCGCGCGAUGAUACAAUCCGUUUGUUCUCCUUGAAUGAAAAGGGUGAGAUCAAUCCUAUUGAGCAAGUUCCAGUAGUCUGCGAAUAUCAAGAUGUGUUUCCUGAAGAGCUGCCAGGCAUGCCUCCGCACCGUGAAGUUGAGUUCGUCAUUGAGCUUAAGCCAGGCACAGAGCCAGUGUGCAAACGGCCGUACAAGCUGGGUCCAGAAGAGUUGAAGGAACUCAAGAGGCAACUCGAUGAGCAGGAGCGUUAGGGUUUGAUGAGACCAAGCUCGUCUCCGUGGGGAUGUGGUGUUCUAUUUUUCAAGAAGAAGGAUGGUUCGGACCGGCUGUGUGUCGAUUACCGCCCAUUGAACAAGAAGACAAUCAAGAACAAAUAUCCACUUCCGAACAUAACUGAGUUGUUCGAACAGUUGAAAGGUGCUAAAGUAUUGUCCAAGCUUGAUCUCAGAAUGGGCUAUCAUCAGAUUCGCAUUCGCGAGGAAGACAUUCCGAAGACGGCCUUCAGGACUAGUUUUGGCUCGUAUGAGUAUACGGUCAUGUCUUUUGGUCUGGCUAAUGCUCCUCCGACUUUUUGUCGAUUGAUGAACUAUAUUUUCUCACCAUACAAGAAUGAAUUUGUCUUGCUCUAUCUCGACGACAUUCUGGUCUUUUCUGAGGAUGAGGAAGAACAUGAGAGACAUCUCAGGUUGGUGCUUGAUAAACUGAGAGAAUACAAGCUGUAUGCCAAGUUUUCCAAGUGCGAGUUCUGGCUGAAAGAAGUGGUUUAUCUUGGGCAUAUUAUCUCUACCGAGGGCAUUAAGGUUGACCCAUCCAAGGCUCAAGCCAUUGUUGACUGGGAACCUCCGCAGAAUGUGAAGCAGCUUCGAAGCUUUCUCGGGCUUGCCGAAUAUUGCAGAAGAUUCGUUGAGAACUUCUCCAAAAUCGCCAAGCCGCUCUCUAGUCUUCUUCAGAAGGGUGUCAAGUAUGUUUGGUCUCCAGAAUGUCAACUGGCUUUCGAUACACUCAAAGAGAAGCUUAUCUCCACUCCGUUAUUGGCCCCUCCGGAUGAUUCCAAGCCGUACCAGGUCUUUUGCGACGCAUCUCUCCAGGGUCUUGGUGCAGUCUUGAUGCAAGAUAGGAAGGUGGUUGCUUAUACCUCCAGGCAGCUGAAGCCUGCGGGGAAGAACUAUCCUGUGCAUGAUCUCGAGCUAGCAGCUGUUGUGCACGCCUUGAUGACUCGGAGACAUCUCUUGUUGGAACGUAAGGUUGAAGUUUUCACCGAUCACAAGAGUCUCAAGUAUAUCUUCACUCAGCCUAACUUGAAUCUUCGGCAAACACGUUGGGUGGAAAUGCUCCAGGAUUUUAAUCCGAGUGUUGAGUACACGCCAGGCAAGGCAAAUGUUGUGGCAAAUGCAUUGAGCAGGAAGGCAUAUUGCAACAGUCUGAUUCUGCAACCUCUCCAGCCGGGUCUUUCUGAGUCUUUCAGGAAGCUCAAUCUUCAGCUAGUUCCUCAGGGUUUUCUUGCGAACCUUUAGAUCUCUCCUACCUUGGAAGAUCAGGUCAGAGCAGCUCAGCUACUUGACGCUAUGGUGAAAAAGGUCAAGAUUGGCAUGGGAAAGAGUCUCCCCAAGUAUAAGUGUUUCACUGUUGAUGCCAGGGACACAUUGUUUUUCGAGGAUCGCCUUGUCGUCCCGAAAGGUGAUCUCAGGAAGGUGAUCAUGGAAGAAGCUCAUAACUCUCUGCUCUCUAUUCAUCCUGGAAGUUCCAAAAUGUACCAUGACUUGAAGCAGACUUUCUGGUGGACUCGUAUGAAACGCGAAAUUGCACAAUUCGUAAACGAGUGUGAUGUAUGUCGAAGGGUGAAAGCAGAACAUCAAAGACCAGCAGGCCUCUUGCAGCCUUUGCCGAUUCCCGAGUGGAAGUUUGAUCACAUUGAGAUGGAUUUCGUCACCGGGUUUCCGAAGUCCAAGAAGGGCAAUGAUGCUAUCUUCGUCGUCAUCGACAAAUUGAGUAAAGGUCCUCAUUUCCUUCCAGUCAAGGAGUCCAUUUCAGCAGCUCAGUUGGCAGAGUUGUACACCUCCAGUAUUGUCUCUUUGCACGGUGUACCUAUGAUGAUGUCGUCAGAUCGCGGAAGUAUCUUCACUUCCAAGUUCUGGGACUCCUUUCAGUCUGCUAUGGGCACGAAGAUUCGCUUCAGCACAACGUUCCAUCCUCAGACUAGUGGUCAAGUGGAGAGAGUGAAUCAAGUUCUUAAGGACAUGCUGAGAGCCUGUGUUAUCUCUUUUGGCAUAAAGUGGGAAGAUUGUCUGCCUUUCGCGGAGUUCUCGUAUAACAAUAGUUAUCAAGCUAGUUCUGGAUAGGCUUCGUUUGAAAUUCUCUAUGGCAGGAAGUGUCGUACUCCGCUCAACUGGUCCCAGACAGGCGAGCGUCAGAUCCUUGGCAAUAAUAUGAUCGAAGAAGCUGAGGAGAUGUGUCGGAUCAUUCGCGACAACCUCAGAGCAGCGCAGUCCCAUCAGAAGAGCUAUUACGAUAGCAAGCACCGUGACAUGUCGUAUGACCUUGAUGACUUUGUCUAUCUCAAAGUGUCACCUAUGAAGGGUAUGCAGCGCUUUGGCCUCAAAGGCAAGCUUGCGCCUCGUUUCGUUGGUCCGUUCAGAGUGGUUGGCAAGAGGGGUGACCUUGCAUACCAGCUCGAGCUUCCGUCAACCUUUGCAAAUGUCCAUGAUGUGUUCCAUGUUUCUCAGCUUCGGAGGUGUUUCAAGACCCCCGAGCGGACUGUGCAUCUUCAAGAUAUCGACCUUCAGCCUGACCUUUCUUAUCGGCAUCCAGUUGCGGUUCUCGAGGCGACUGAGCGCAAGACCCGUAACAAGACUGUCAAGUUUCUCAAAGUGCAGUGGUCUCACCAUACCGAUAAAGAGGCUACGUGGGAACGCGAGGAUCACCUCUGUUCCGAAUUUCCCGAUUUCUUUCAGGCGUAGAUCUCGGGGCGAGAUCUUCUUUGUAGUGUGGGAGAAUUUGUAGUGCCGCAAGUGUAAAGCUUUCCCUUUUUGUAACCUUCCAUGUGGGACCACCUUGACAUUGUCAUGAGAGCUAUCUAUGCAUGUAUGAAUUCAUGUGUUCACCUUGUAUUUCUUCUUUUGCAUGCAUGCAUCCAUGCCAUACCAUUCUUACCAUGCCUUGUUUUGCUUGCAUCUAUACCUUGCCAUGUCAUAGAGUGGAGACUUGUGAUUUCAUGUGUUGAUGCACAUGUGAUGAUGGUGUGUGGAGUGUAAGAGUGGUUGCUAGGUAUUUUCAAAGUUCCUUGCAAUUCAAACCCUUUUCCUUCCUUUUACCUCAUGUUCAAAAUUACAUCUUCCCAAAAGCUGUUCUAAAAUGUCUUGUGAUUAGGGUUUAUUGUGGGAAUGAUGAUGUGUGUAUUUGCUGUAUUGUAUCUUGAUUUCAAGGGUGCAAAUAAACCCAAAACAGUAAAUUAAUUACUGUUUUGCAUUUAUUCCAAAUUGCUCCAAAUAUUGUUUUUCUAUUUUAUUCAAAUAGGCCAUAAUUCCUUAUGGCCAGGGGCAUUUUUGCUUUGAUUUUAACCCCAACAGAACUGCCAGUGGAUUUAAGUCCUAGCUGUGUUUAUUUAAAAAAAGUUCAAAACCCUCUCAGCCCCACUCCUCUAACUAACGCCGGUGGCAAGCAAACCAGCGCGGCCCAGCCCACUCCUUCCUAGCUCACGCACGCGAGCGUCGUCCUCCUCCCCUUUCCAGCGAGGCAGGCGGCCCCACAAGUCAGCCUCUCACCUCGCUCCUCUCUGCUUUCCACCGAAGCUCCCCGCACGCACAUGGCAGCGCCGCGAUCCUCACCUCUCCUUCCCUCUAUUUAACCCCCCUUGGCGUCCGUGCAUCCGUGUUAGGGUUCCUCCUCGCCGUCGCAACGCCCAGAUCCCGAUCCACCUCUCUCUCUCUCGCCGCAGCAAGUGAGGACCGCACGGGAUCGCCAUGGCCGACGGGUAGCAUCUCGCCGUCGCCAUCGAUCUACUUCCCCUGCUUCCUCUACGACGACGCCAACAGCUCGAGGGUGCCUCCAGGAGCCCGUUCCCGGCGCAAGACCGACCUCCCCCGCGCUACGUCCACUGCCUCCCGGCGGUGCAUCCCCUCCGACGAGAAGCCUCCCCGACGGUCUUCCUCCUCUACUUCCUCUACGAGCCGAUCCUCUCCUCGACUCGUACACGAGGUAGCGCUUCUCUUCCCUCCUCCCUGUCCCAGAUCGGGUGCGGUAGCCGUAGGUUGUCACGCGCUUGCUCUCUGUCGCCGGCGCCGCCGCUCGCCGUCGUUGCGCCAUAGUAGGGCCCCUCGGGUGCAGCUAGCACAUGAAAUGGACCCGUGCGUGUGUGGGCUUACUCCCCCCCACGAGCCGUUGCUCGAUUUGCACCACGUCGCCGGCGAGGGCCUUCCCCUGUUUUGGUUCAUCGCCGACAGUAGAUCAGCAGAGGGAGGCUCCUUCAGAUGUUUUGUAGCGUGUAUUAUUUCAGACUCCGUAGCGUAGCCCAGUGGUUUGAUCCCUGUUGUGCGUGAUGCAGGUGCUGGGUUCGAUCCUUCCCCGCGGCACCUUUUUGUUUCUCUGAAUUAUCAGCACAGUUUACUGCAGGGAUGGCCUCACCUUGCUUGAACCCUCUGUUUUGUCGAAUAGUUGACAGUAGCAGAGUGGUAGAGGGUAGUUUGUGGCAUCAGAGGGUACUGGGUUCGAAUCCCAGGUGCCCCUGUUGUAUUUUUACCCUUCCUUUUAUUUCUUUUGUUUGUCCUACCAUAUUUCUGCCUAACCCAUAGGCAUUAAAGUGGACCAUUUUGAUUUCUUCUCCUGCUGUGCAUAGAUAGAGGAAGGAUCUUUGGUUGUGUGUGUGUGUGUGUGUGCACACUUGUGAUAGUGCAAGUGAUGUGUGUAUGUGUUUAUGUGGCUUAGUUGAAAAGUGGCUCAUGUGAUCUUGCUAGUGUGUUUGGGUGUGUAGUACUUGCAAAGUAUGUGCAUUGUGGAAUAGGUGAGAUGUGUGUGUUGAGGUGAUGUGUGUGUAAGUAGUGCACACAUAUGUGGUACCUAGCAGGAGUGUAUGUAUGUGUGGAUCCAUGUUUACUUGCAUAGCAGUUGUUCCUUCAUGUUGUGCUUGAGAUUAAGUGCUUGUGAUGAGGGUAUUGUGAUGAUAUGUGUGUGGUGAUAACAGCCCCAUUUGCAACACUUGUGCACCUCCUCAUGUUGAUAUGAGAGAGGGCAUGAUGUGUGUGUGUGAGGGUGAUCUAGUGAAAGUUGUGCUAGUGGUGUUGAUGUGCAUAACACAUACAUGGGGUUCAAACCCCCAUGUCACUUUGUCAUUGUGCACAUGAGCUCAACCUUUGUAGUUGUUGACUUAGUAGGAACUACAUGAAAUGAUGCCCAUUCCCUAGGCAUGAUUUGGAGUAGUUUCCUCUCCCUUAAUUUGUGGUCACUUGUUCCAAGUAAGUGCCCACAUAUUAUAUAUGAUUUUGGGGUAGAAUCUCCCAAGGAAUCCAGUGGUGAAGUUAGUUUUGCCAUUAGGAUAAUUUCUGGAGUUGACAUAUUCAGAUUUAUUGCAAGUUUGAUCUUUGAUUCCAUGGAAUAGGUGGAGCCCAAGGGCAUGAGUUUUUGUGUGAUAGUAGUAGGGUUUUGCUCUACACCAUAGUGGUGUCAUAUAUCACUUGGUGUUACUUGUGUGCAAACUAUGCCUAGACAAAGUGGGCAUGUGGCUGAAAAUUCCAGUUUAGUGAAAUCUGGAAUUUCACAAAGUCUGGGAUUCUGGAAACAUUUUCUUCUCUUAUAGAUGAGGAUGUGCUGGUCAUUGUGUUGAGAUCUAGCCUUAGUUCAGUGCUAGGAUUUUGGACCUGAUAUGUUUUUUAAGUUCCCUGUCAAAUUUCAAAUCAUUUGGAGUCUAGUAGGUUGUGUUUUGAUUGCUGUCAAAAAGCUUCAGAACAAAGACAGAAAUUCAGGUGCAGGAAUUUUCACCAAGUCCCUGAGAUCUGAUGGUUUUGGGGAAGUUUGUGGCCUUGUAUAUUAAUUCCUUUUGCUGUGAUUCUUGCUGGUGCUUGUAGGGUUCUUGGUGGGAUACAGCCACUUAUAUUAUUUGACAUAUUUGGUGGCCUGUAGCUAUGUUGCAUGUAGCUCACAAAGUGCUAAGAUGCAGUUUAUGGCAGAUUAUGUAGUUUUGUCAUUUCUAUGAUUGUGUGUGCUUAGUGGAUGUGGUGGUGCUCUUACUUGCUCCAAUCCAUUCAUGUGGGAGUGGUACAUGUCUUGGCAACCUGGGAAUACCAGAUUUGUGCCAAUUGUGAGUGUGGUGUUGAUUCUUACACGUAGAGCUUCAUAUCUUGUUUCGUUGAUUCCCGUUGAACCGUAGCUCCGUUCACAAUGUUCUUUAUAUGUUUUUGCAUCGUUUUCACGAGACGCAUCUCUUCAUGCCAUUCUCAUGCAUGUCGAAAUAGCCUAGUGUAAAGUUCUGUCCAGAAACUUAUAGUAGUUCCUUUUGCUUGUGCUAGUGAUAGAAAUAGUGAUGCAUGCUCAUUUUUCAUCUCAUGCAUCAUGUGAUUGUUGCAUCUUGUAGUGCUGCUGUUCAUUGGCUGUUAUUCUUAUGUUGGGUAGCACCGGGAUCGGAGAACGAAUAUGUGGAGUCAGGAGAGUACGUGCAGGACAAUCCAGGACCAUUCCAAGCUGAGGAUAUCACAUGCAAGAUGAUAUGACCUUGAUUCCAUCUCUAGACUUGUUAUGCUAGUUUCGUUUACUUGUCAUAUUGCUCGCUGCCUACCACUGAAAUUAAAUUGCCUCUUCAUAUGCCAUGAGCCCAAACACUGUUCCCCUUCCUAGCAAAACUUGUAUGGCUAAGUAGGCUUUGCUCAGCUACUAAUGUUAGCGUUGCUAGAUGCAGGUGCUUUGACUCAUGUGAUAACAUGAGCUUUGAUAUCAUUAUCUUAAAUUCCGUUAAUUAAUGAAUGCACCUAUAUACUUGGUAAAUGACGGGAGGCCUAGCCUUUUGCCGGGUGCUUUGUUCCGUUAUUGCCGCCUUAGUUACCGGUUACCGGUGUUUGAUUCCAUAAUGAUCGCUCCUAACACGUUCGGGGUUGUUAUGGGGACCCCCUUGAUAAAUCGCGUAGUGCUAAGGCUUGUCCGGCAGGACCCAACAUUGGUUUUAAUCUGCUCACAUAAUAAUCUGCAUAGGGAAUAGCUACCCCGAGGAAUUUAAUCAACAACCCCGGCCAGUGCUCCUCAUGAGUGUUGGCCCCACCUGAGCGAUGUCCGGGGCCCCACUCGUCACCCAGAGGUUUAGCCAUCCCUUCGCCUAGCUCAUCCGUCGUGUCCUGAGACUGAGAUACGUGGCUCUUAUCAGGGCCAUCGACACGACGGGAGGUCCUGCUAGCCUUGUCUUACCUUAGCGGUAUAUCUUGCGUAUAGGAAUCCCAGUGAAGCUUUGGUUUCCCCAAGAGUUGAGGUUUUCCUCUAAGGAAUCCGACGAGAUCACGAGAUUCGUGAUAGAGGAUGCCUUUGCGGCCUGUGUUCGUUUAUGAUGGACUAGUUGGAGCACCCCUGCAGGGUUUAAUCUUUCAGAAAGCCGUGCCCACGGUUAUGUGGCAACUUGGAAUAUUUUGUUAACAUCCGGUAUUAGAGAACUUGAACAUAAGCUAAUAAAAUUGCCAACUGUGUGCGUAUCCGUGUCUGUCCCCUCGAAGAUCCCUCUUCGAUCGGGAACACGGUGGGGUUAUGAAUGCCGUAGGUAGGUGGUCAGGAUCACUUAGUGAUCAAGUAUUCCCGACCGCUAGUGUAGACCACCUUCACAAUUACUUCGCGUAAGUUAGCCACUUAAUCAAGCUUAGGAUGCUGCAGCCUUAUACACUUCACCCUUACCCUACCUAAUAACAUGACUAGUUCUGGCACCAAGGUCUUAGAUUGCUGAGUCCCCGUGGCUCACGGAUUCCUCCGAAACUCCCAGCAGGUACAGGUACCCCAGAGACAGAUGAUCCCGACGGCACCCAGCUGGCGUGGCAAUACGACGAGGAGACAGACCGCCUCUAGGUGAGCUAUCCAGAGGACUGAGGCGUGGUCGUGAUCGUGGGCCUGCACGCAGGGUAGCAUAGCAUUUCCAUGUUUUGUAGUCCGUAGCGGAACUACCUUGAUUGUAUCUGUGAUGUACUCUGAGUUAUUAAUAAGAAGACAGUUGAAUCCCGAAUUGUCUACUUUUAUUGUUAUUUGUGCUAUGUUACUUGCUUGCGAAACGCUUAGAUGCGCUUCUUUCCUAUUCGGGGGCCUCGACCCCAAGAUCGGAAAGGACCGCAUCUUGGUCGUUACACCGUGUUAUAGUUGUUGCAUGAUGAAUAUCAUCCAAACAAAUCACCGACCCAUUGCCUACGAGUUUGUUCUAUUGCUGCUACUACUGUUGCUACUGUUGUUACUUGUCUUGCUCUACUGCUGCUACUACUCUUGCUACUGCUGUUACUUGUCUUGCUCUGCUGCUACUGUUGCUACUACUGUCGCUUGCUACUGUUGCUAUUUGCUACUGCUCUCACUACCACUGUUCCUUGCCACUGCUGUUACUCGCUACUUUUCUGUUACUACUUUGGUUGCAGAUACUAAUCUUUUAGGUGUGGUUGAAUCUGAUAAAUUCAGCUGCUAAUACUUGAGAGUAUUCUUCCACCUCCCGUCAUGCGAAUCAACAAAUUUGGGUCAAAUACUCUACCCUCGAAAACUGCUACGAUCCCACGUGCUGGUGGGCGUCAACAACAUUCUCCUAGUUUCGAUUGCCGGAGAGUGCUAACAACAUUCUUCUGGUGCCGUUGCAAUGGGGAAGAACAGUUGACAUCAAGCAUUUUUCUGGCGCCGUUGCCGGGGAGGUAUUGCUAUAUUCUCUAAGUGACUUGGGAUUUAUAUCUGCUGAUCACUAUGAAGAAUCUGAAGGAUCCGAAGACCAAAGUCUUGCCCUCAACUACGAGGGGAGGUAAGGAAUUGCCAUCUAGCUCUGCACUUGAUUCACCUUCAGUUAUGAGUAAGUUUGCGACAUCACCUCCUGCUAGAAAUCUUGAUAUGUCGCAUGUGCUUGAUGAUGCUUGUGAUACUACUGCUAGAGAUGCUAUGCUUGAUACUAUGCCUGAUGCUAUGCCUGAUACUGCUAGAGAUGCUAUGCUUGAUACUGCUUUGCCUGAUGAUGCUAGAGAUGCUAUUUUGCCUGAUGAUGCUAUGCUUGAUACUGCUAGAGAUACCACUUUGCCUGAUGUUCCACUAGGGGUAUUCCUUGAUGCUCAUAUUGCUAGAGUUACUGCCAAUGCUCGUGAUGCUUGUGAUACUACCGAUACUAUUGAGAUAGAACCUGCUUUUGCUCCUGCUAGAUCUAGCUCUCCUAGAUAUGAAUUGCCUGAUAUACCUGAGGGUUACGUUAUGGAGGGAGAGAUAGCUGAGGAAUUUCUUGCGUGUAAGGAUGCCUAUGACGCUGAGAAAUUACUUCUCAAGUGGAAGGAAAAAUCUCGGGAAGCUAAGAUGAAAUAUGACCCGAAGUUUGCCACUUCACCUAUCUUUAUCACUGAUAAGGAUUAUGAAUUCUCUGCCGACCCUGAGAUAAUCUCUCUAGUCAAAUCUGAUCCUUUUCACUGUUAUGAGUCUGAGACGGUCGUAGCCCAUCUUGCCAAAAUACACGAUAUAGCCACCCUUUUCACUAAUGAGAAGAAGAUCCGCCACUACUAUAUCCUUAAGCUGUUUCCUUUCUCUCUAAAGGAUGAUGCUAAAGUAUGGUUCACCUCUCUUGCUCCUGGAUGUGUGAGUAGUCCACAAGAGAUGGUCUAUUACUUCUGUGAGAAAUAUUUCCCUGCCCAUAAGAAGCAAGCUGCCUUGCAGGAAAUAUACAACUUUGCUCAACUCCAAGAAGAGAGUCUUCCACAAGCUUGGGGGAGGUUCAUCCAGCUACAGAAUGCUUUGCCUGAUCACCCUCUUAAGAAGAACGAGAUACUUGAUAUCCUCUAUAACGGACUUACCGAUGCCUCUAGAGACCACCUAGAUAGUUGUGCCGGUUGUGUUUUUAGGGAACGAACUGUAGAACAAGCUGAGACUCUACUGAAUAACAUCUUGAUCAACGAUAAUGCUUGGACUAUUCCCAGACCACCUCCUAAGCCAUCUCCUAAGAAAAGAGGUAUUCUAUUCCUCAGUCCCGAAGAUAUGCAGGAAGCCAAGAAAUCUAUGCAAGAGAAAGGCAUUAGAUCUGAAGAUGUAAGAAAUCUACCACCUAUCGAAGAGAUCCAUGAUCUCGAUAACCCGAUACAGGUAGUAGAAGUAAAUUCUCUGUGUAGGUUUGAUGAGAGUGAUAUUCCUUUUGAUAAACCUGCUAGCCUAUGCUUUGAUGAAUUUGACAACUUUGUUGCCAAACAACAGAGUUUCAAUGAUUAUGUUAGCAGACAUUUGGAACAAAGUACUCGUAUGCUUAGCCAUUUAAGUGCUUGUGUAGACAGUAAUGUCAACGAUCUGAAGCUUCUGAGUAAACAUGCCUCUAUGAUUACUACUCAGGUAGAACAAGUACUUAAAGCUCAGAAUGACCUGCUAAAUGAAUUAAAUGACAACUCUAUCAGAGUCAUUACUAGAGGAGGCAAAAUGACUCAGGAACCUUUGUAUCCUGAAGGUCAUCCUAAGAGAAUUGAUCAAGAUUCUCAAGGAAUCAAUGCUGAUACACCCAGUCAUCCUAAGGAGAAGAAGAAGGAUGAUAGAAACCUGCACGCCAGUUCACCAAAUACUGUCACACAUGAAGAACCUAAUGAUAUUUCUGCGUCUGAUGCAGAAACACAAUCUGGUGAUGAACAUGAACCUGGUGACAAUAUGGACAGUGAUGUUCAUAAUAAUGCUCAACCUAGCAAUGAUGAGGAUGUGGAGAUUGAACCUACGGUUAAUCCUGAUAACCCACAACCUAAGAAAUACGAUAAGAAUGACUUCACUGCUAGGAAGCAUCGUAAAGAAAGGGAGCCAUGGGUUCAGAGACCUAUGCCCUUUUCUCCUAAGCCAUCCAAGAAAACGGAUGAUGAGGAUUUUGAGCGCUUCGUUGAGAUGAUAAGAGCCAUCUUUCUGCAGAUGCGGUUAACUGAUAUGCUCAAGAUGUCUCCGUAUGCCAAGUACAUGAAAUAUAUCGUGACUAAUAAACGGAAGAUACCAGAUCUUGAGAUCUCCACCAUGCUUGCCAAUUACAGUUUUAAAGGUGGAACUCCUAAGAAACUUGGUGAUCCCGGAGUGCCCACUAUACCUUGCUCUAUUAAAGGAACCUACGUAAGAACUGCCUUAUGUGACCUUGGAGCCGGUGUUAGUGUUAUGCCGCUUUCUCUUUAUCGUAGACUUGAAUUGGAUAAGUUGACACCCACUGAAAUUUCUCUGCAAAUGGCCGACAAAUCAACUGCUUUCCCUAUCGGCAUUUGCGAGGAUGUGCCUGUUGUGGUUGCUAACACCACUAUCUUAACAUACUUUGUAUCUUGGAUAUUCCCGAGGACGAUGCCAUGGCUGUCAUCCUCGGAAGACCCUUUUUAAACACGGCAGGGGCUGUUAAAGAUUGCAACAAAGGCAAUGUCACUUUCCACGUCAACGGUAAUGAGCACAUAGUGCACUUUCCGAAGAAACGAUAUCAAGUACAUUGCAUCAAUGCUAUCGAAAAGACUUCAUCGAUUCUUAUUGGGAGCUUUGAAUGCCCUAUUCCUCGUGUCAAGAUGAAGUAUGAUUUGCUUGUUGGGGAGAUACAUAUCCCCAUUGAGGUGACUUAGUGGCUAUUCGAAAAUUCUCCGUCCUCUCUUGCGAUUCGAGAAGGUUUUGUCAUAAGGACUUGAUCAAUCCCAUUGACGGAUUUCUUUUGAUGACCAUGAAACGGAUGAAUCAAAGAGUCACAUACCUCUGUUUUAAAGCUUUCAUUUUCUGUUGCUUAGAAGAAAAAUGAUAGAAUUAGUCUAGCUUUUCCUGUUUUCUGUUUUAGCGUCCCGGAGAAAAAUACCUUGAAAAUAAAAGUUCUUCGAUGGUCCUGAAAAUUUAGUACGAUUUUUUCUGGAAUUUUUGAAAAUUUAUGGACCUGAGAGCUGGCCUGGGGGCCAGACCAGUGGGCCACAAGCCCUGCCACCGCCACCUACCCCCCUGGUGGCGGAGUGCAAGAUUGUGGGGCCUACAGGCACCCCCCUCCACUCAUUCCAGCUCUCAGCUUCUUCUUCCACCUCCAGAAAAAAUUGUUUCACAGCUCAAACCCGUGUUCUUGGUCAUUUGGUUGUGAUUUUCGAUCUCCUUGCUCAAAGCACCAUUCUCCGAACCGUUUUGGGGAAAUUGCUCCUUGGUAAGCGACUCCUCCAUUGGUCCCAUUAGUUUUUGCUCUAGUGCUUUAUCCUUCGUGUACUCUUGCUACCUUGGUGACCCUGUUCUUGAGCUAGAAAUGUUGAUUUUAGCUGGUUCCAAGUAGUUUUAGCGCGUGAUACGGUCUCUAGGCACUAGUAGGAGUAGUUGCUACAAGUUGGGUUAAUCUUUAUUCACUUUUCUUUCGAAGUCUCUAAAAAUUUCAGAAUUUUUCAGAGCUAGAAAAAGGAAAAGAUGAGGAGGUUCUUGAGAGCCUCCUCAAGCCAUAACCCCAAGGAGGAUGAGAAGAACCACCCCAAGUACGUAGUCCCUCGAGUCACAGAAGUUCGAGCGUGCGAGUGGCCAAGUGAUGAAUUUUUGUGCGUCGCCGGACUUUAUGAAGACUUUUAUUACUUGGUGGAUAACGCAGGUCUUACUGCGUUCGUUGAAGAUAAGUGCUCACAAUACCUCCUCCUCACCAAUAUUUUCGUUCAAAGCUUCAACUUUUAUCCGAGGAAGAAUCCUCCCAUGGUUGAGUUCAUGAUAUACGAUGUCCCCUAGUGCAUGACACUGCAGGAUUUUUGCAAUGUGUGCAAAUGACCUUAUGUUGGGGAUAUCCGUGACCCUCGUCCACAGGACUUGGAGGAUUUCAUUGGUUCUAUUGCUGUCGGAGAGGAGAGAGGAGUGUCUCGCGCUAGAAUUGCUAGCAUACAUUUUCCUGUGCUUCAGUACUUCUCACUAUUUGUGGGAAAAUGUUUGAUUGGCCGUGGGGAGGCUGGGUCACUUAGUUCUCCACACCUUGCGGUUUUGCGCGAAGGCCUUUAUAACGAUAACACUUAUAGUUUGGGCGCUAUAGUAGCUCAACGGUUGAACCUGAACCAUUCUAAAGGUGUAGUAUAUGGAGGUAUCUAUGCUACCCGUCUUGCUAGACACUUUGAGAUACGCAUUAGACUGGGAGAGGAAGGAGAGAUGUUUCUCCAUGAGAAAUAUCUGGAUUAUGACAGCAUGGUUCGCCAUGAUUUUCUGGAUAGAGAUGCUAGUAGACGGAUGAUUUAUAACCUGGUGUUUAGUCAGGGUACUCGAGAGACUAUUACUUUGCCUGCUCGUUCUUUGUUCGAUCUUCAUGCAGGCAGGUACACUAUUAUGCCCUCGGACAUCUACGCAUAUUGGGGCUUGGCCCAACCACAGGCGCCCGAGCCCGAGCCGCCAGUCGACUACCAGACGCCAGUUUAUCAGUGGGAACCAGAGGAGCUCACACAGUAGUGGCAUCCACAGUCUGCUCCGGAGUAUCCUGGAGCUGGUUAUUUCCCACCUUGGGAGUAGACCAAGCUAGGCCAAAAGCCUAAGCUUGGGGGAGUAUGUGUUCUCACCGACUUUACAUUCAUGCUUAUGCUUUCACUUUGUUAGCCGGUGUUUACACUUUACCACUGUAUUAUCCAUGCUAGUUUAUUUUUCUUUUCUUGUUUUCCUGUUUUGUGUCCUUUUGAGAAAACCCAAAAAGAUUUUUCUUUCUUCUUUUGCUUGUUGGGAGUUUUCCCAUGUAAAUAGUUUUCUUUUUCUUUGGGUCAAGGUAGAAGAUAUUGGUUACAAUGUUUAUUGGUUCUUGCAUGGUUACCUGUUUAGCUUUCAAAAGAGCCAUAUUACUUUGUCUUCUCCUUUGGGUUUGCGUGCAGAUUCAGCUUAGUCCAAUGCGCUUAUUAUUGUUCACAUCGUUCGAUCGUGCAAAUGAAAGGCAACAAUGAUGAUAUAUGAUGAAGUGACUGAGACUGAAAACUGGUAUGAACUCUAUCUAUUUUCUUUUUGUAAAUAUGACUAGCUUGUCGACCCAGAUUUAGCUUUGUUGUGAGAGAACCAUGUUUGCAAUGACAACUUAGAGAUCAUAGUUUCUGAUGCCAUGCUUAUUUAGCUGAGAGCUUAUAAUGGUUUGUCUUGAAUGCCAACAUAGAUUUUGAGAUGACUAUGGUGUAGUAUGAUAGGAUGGUAUUCUCCUUUGAAUGUUUCAAGUGGCCUGACUUGGCGCAUGUUCAUGCAUGUAGUUGAAAAAAAUCAACAUAGCCUCUAUGAUGUUCGUGUUCAUGGUGAUUUAUAUCCUGUUCAUGCUUGCAUUCAAUGUUAGUCAAACUCAUUGCAUCUUGAUGACUGUUGUGGCUCUCUAGUUGGUCGCUUCUCAGUAUUUUGCUAGCCUUCACUUGUACUAAGCGGAAUACUGCUUGUGCAUCCACUUCCAUAAACCCAAAAGUUUUUCCAUGAGAGUCCACCAUACCUACCUAUUUGCGGUAUCUACCUGCCGUUCCAAGUAAAUUUGCAUGUGCCACUCUCUAAACCUUCAAGAAAUAAUCUGUUUUGCUUGCCCGAACCGCUCAUGUGGUGACAUGGGGCUAUUGGUAUCUUCCAUGCUAGGAGUGUUAUCCUCGACAUGUGUUUAUUCACUGUCAUUCACGAGAAAGGGGCCGGUAAUUGGAAUGCCCAGUUCCACGCUUAAAUCGAAAACAUAACUGUAAAACAAGACUCCCCCGGAUUGAUGUUAGUAUGGACGGUACCCGAGGAUUCGGCUAGCCGUGGAGUGUGAUUGAUUGGUGGUGGGGGAGUUAAAACUUUACUUUUCUGUUUGGGAACCGCCAUAGCAUGAGUAGCAUGGAAGAUAUUGAGAACUCUUGGUCAUUGCGUUGACAAUGAAAGCAUGCCACCCAAAAUUAUUAUCUCUGUUUUCAAAGCUUGAGCUCUGGCACCUCUGCAAAUCAAUACUUCCCUGUGCGAAGGGCAUGUCUAUUUAUUUUCCUAUGGAGUCAUCCUCCUCUUAUAUAAGCACCAAUUAGAGAGCACCUCUGUGAUUUUUAUGCUUUGCUUUUGAUUGAUAUUGAGUAUGACUAUGACUGGAUCUUCGUUGUUAUGAAUUACAAUGUUUAGUGAGCCCUUGAUCUUUGAAAGUUCUCUGCAUUUAUGUUUUGCGGUCUCAGAAAGAGCUAGCGAGAUACCAUCUAUUCAUAUUGCUUCAUGCUUGUUUUGAUUGAAGUGUUGGUAUUUGAAACUCAUUAUUAUUUGCUCGAUGGCUGAUUAUGCCAUUGAUAUUAGUUUACCGUGAGACCUUUGUGUCAUUUUCUUAUGUGGUUAACUUGUGAUCUUGCUGAAAUUCUGGUUAUGAGUUAGACAUAGUUGCAACAGCAAGAUCAAACAGAGUUUGUCAAAGUUUUCUUUCUCUCUCAGUUUGUCAACUGAGUUGUUUGAGGACAAGCAAGGUUUUAAUCUUGGAGGAGUUGAUACGUCUCCAUCGUAUCUACUUUUCCAAAUUCUUUUGCCCUUGUUUUGGACUCUAAUUUGCAUGAUUUGAAUGGAACUAACCUGGACUGACGCUGUUUUCAGCAGAAUUGCCUUGGUGUUAUUUUUGUGCAGAAAUCAAAGUUCUCCAAACGUCUUGAAAAUCUACGGGGAGCAGUUUUGGAAAAUAUAAAAAAUAUCUACGCCAAGUUCCACCUUAGGGGGUGGGCGAGUGGGCCACAAGCCCUGGCUCCGCCACCACCCCCCUGGUGGCGGUGGGCAGGCUUGUGGGGCCCACACGGCUCCGCCGCCCCCAACCUCAGGUCUAUAAGUUCACUUUCGUCCCAGAAAAAAUAAAAAGAGAGGUUUUCAUCGCGUUUGCGAUACGGAGGCGCCGCCACCACAUGUUCUUCAUCUGGAGGGCAGAUCUGGAGUCCGUCUGGGGCUCCGGAGAGGGGAAAUCGUCACCAUCGUCAUCAUCAACCUUCUUCCCUCUCCAAUUCCCUGAAGCUCUUCGUCGUUCGUGAGUAAUCUAUUCGUAGGCUUGCUGGGCGGUGAUGAGUAGGAUGAGAUCUAUCAUGUAAUCGAGUUAGUUUUGAUGGGGAUUGAUUCCUAGUAUCCACUGUGUUCUGAGAUUGAUGUUGCUACUAGUUUGCCAUGCUUAAUGCUUGUCACUAGGGCCCGAGUGCCAUGAUUUCAGAUCUGAAAUUAUUAUGUUGUCACCAAUAUAUGUGUGUUUCAGAUCCGAUCUUGCAAGUUGUAGUUACCUACUAUGUGUUAUGAUCUGGCAACCCCAGAGUGACAAUAACCGGAACCACUCCCGGUGAUGACCAUAGUUUGAGGAGUUCAUGUGUUCACCAAGUGCUAAUGCGUUGGUCCAGUUCUUUAUUAAAAGGAGAACCUUAAUAUCCCAUAGUUUCCUUUUGGACCCCGCUGCCACGGGAGGGAUGGACAAUAGAUGUCAUGCAAGUUCUUUUCCCUAAGCACGUAUGACGACACACAGAAUGCAUGCCUACAUCACAUUGACGAACGGGAGCUAGCCACAUAUCUCUCCGUGUUAUAGCUGUUGCAUGAUGAAUAUCAUCCAAACAAAUCACCGACCCAUUGCCUACGAGUUUGUCCUACUGCUGCUACUACUGUUGCUACUGCUGUUACUUGUCUUGCUCUGCUGCUGCUACUACUGUUGCUACUGCUGUUACUUGUCUUGCUCUGCUGCUACUGUUGCUACUACUGUCGCUAGCUACUGUUGCUACUUGCUACUGCUGUCACUACCGCUGUUCCUUGCCACUGCUGUUACUCGCUACUUUGCUGUUACUACUUUGCUUGCAGAUACUAAUCUUUCAGGUGUGGUUGAAUUUGAUAAAUUCAGCUGCUAAUACUUGAGAGCAUUCUCUCACCUCCCGUCGUGCGAAUCAACAAAUUUGGGUCGAAUACUCUACCCUCGAAAACUGCUAUGAUCCCACGCGCUGGUGGGCGUCAACAACAUUCUCCUAGUUUGGAUUGCCGGAGAGUGCUAACAACAUUGUUCUGAUGCCGUUGCAAAGGGGAAGAACAGUUGACAUCACCCCUCCCAACGGAACUGCGGAACCCAUUCGUCACUCCUGGUACUUUACCGUAAUGUCCGAAAACCUUUCGGAAGCCAAAUGGAUACUUCCUAUAUAUCAAUCUUCGUCUCCGGACCAUUCUGGAAACCCUCAUGACGUCUGGGGUCUCAUGCGGGACUCUAAAAAACAUUCGGUUACCAACAUCAAUAAUUCAACUAUACCGUAAACGUCACCGAACCUUAAGUGUGCAGACCCUGCGGGUUCGAGAACUAUGUAUACAUGACGUGAAACACUUCUCCGGUCAAUAACCAAUAGCGGGACCUGGAUGCCCAUAUUGGCUCCUACAUAUUCUAUGAAGAUCUUUAUCGUUUGAACCUCUAUUCCAAGGACUCAAUUAAUCUCAUAUGUUGUUCUCUUUGUCAAUCGGUAUGUUACUUGCCCGAGAUUCGCACGUCGGUAUCUCCAUACCUAGUUCAAUCUCGUUACCGACUGAUGACGAGAUGAUGCAUAUACUUCUCGCACCUCAUUGGUUACCCCAAGUGGAAGGUUGAGAUGUAGUCAGCAGCAAGUUUUCCCUCACACAGGGACUAUAAGUUUAUCGAACCAGGAGGACCCCUAGGAUCAGCAAGUAGGUGUAUUCCACCUUGUUGCUAGCAGAAGACGUGGACCUGUACACACACAAAUAACUUUGCUCGCAACGAGUACAGAGAGGUUGUCAAUCUCUCCGGCCUUGUACAUUGCAAAGGAUCAAAACACAAGCGAGAAGGUAAUAGUGAUUCAAUGGAAAAGUAAAUGAAAUCGGUAAAUGAUGGAGGUGUAAACAAAGAUGGUGAUAUGGACCGGAGUCACAUGAUGUUCACUAGUGAUGUCUCUCUCCCAAAAGACGACAAACAACUAUGCUUGGGUAAACAAAUCACAAUUGGGCAAUUGACAGAAUUAUGAACGCACCUCAAUGCUAAUUAUGCUACUUGAUAGUUAGAGGUUCAAUAGUAAUGGGCAGUACGCCAAGACAAGUAGACCGUUUAUUCAUCAUCAUCUACUUACUAAUCAUCCACCUUGAGAUAUCUAGCGAGAACAUCUCACCGGUAUUAAGUUGCGAGCCCCACCCAAAGUGUAAACUCAAAUCAACGGGCAACUGCAUUAACGAACUAUGCGUAAGGUAAACAAUCCUUGCAACCGUGGUCACAAGCACCAUUGUUUCCUCCCUGGUGGCAACAUCACAUCCCCUAGUCUCAUGUUUCUUUCACUCAAGCUAGACAUCGAGGGGCAUGAACCCACAAUCAUGCAUAACGCUCCCUCUUGGAGUUACAAUCUACUACUCGACCAAAACAAUAAAUAGCAACGGAGAACAUGCAUGAAUCACUAAGGAACAUAAUGUAAAAGGAUAAUCAAAUAUAUAACUCAUAACAAUCUGAACAUAAUCUCAUAAUCCAUCGGAUCCCAACAAACCGAGCAUAGCAAUAGCAAGAGAAUUACAUAGAUGCCUUGAUCAUGUAGGACAGCUCACAAGGACUAACCAUUGAAGCACAAGAUUGGAGAGAAGACAUCACAUAGCUACUGGUCAUGGACCCAUGGUCGAAAGAGGACUACUCACGGCAUGUCCGGGAAGCAUCCAUGGCGGUGGAGAAGCUCCCGGAGGUCAAUCCUCCCUCCGACAGGGUGCCGGGAAGAGGUCUCCUCAUGCUCCCGAUCUCGGAAGCGCCGCGGCGGCGGAACGAUGGAGAAAUUCGCGAUUCUAGAAGUUGUGGAAGGGUUUCCUCU
rnacentral:lncRNA from 1 species